rnacentral:lncRNA from 1 species
GAAAAAAUUGGUCCAAGAAACUAGAUGAUGCAUUGUGGGCCUAUAGAACUGCAUAUAAAAAUCCUAUGGGUAUGUCUCCGUAUAAAAUGGUCUAUGGAAAAGCAUGUCACUUACCUCUUGAACUAGAACACAAGGCUUAUUGGGCUAUUAAAGAACUUAAUUAUGAUUUUAAACUUGCUGGUGAAACGAGGUUAUUUGAUAUUACCUCACUUGAUGAAUGGAGAACCCCAAGCUUACGAAAAUGCCAAGUUGUUUAAAGAAAAAGUUAAAAGAUGGCAUGAUAAAAGGAUACAAAAGCGUGAGUUUAACAUAGGUGAUUAUGUACUGCUAUACAACUCUCGUUUAAGAUUUUUUGCAGGAAAACUUCUCUCUAAAUGGGAAGGCCCUUACGUUAUCGAGGAGGUCUAUCGUUCCGGUGCCAUAAAAAUCAACAACUUCGAAGGCACAAAUCCGAAGGUGGUGAACGGUCAAAGAAUCAAACACUAUAUCUCAGGUAAUCCCAUAAAUGUUGAAAUCAAUGUUAUUGAAACCGUAACCCCGGAGGAGUACAUAAAGGACACUUUCCGGAAUGUUUCAGACUCCGAAAAGGAAUAGGUAUGUAGUACGGUAAGUAAACCGACUCCAAAACAGUUUUUAAGGCAAUAUUUCUCCAUUUUGGAAUAUUUAGAAAAAUAGAAAAAUAAGCAGCAGACUGGAAAGGACAUGAGGGUGGAGGGCGCGCCCUACCCCCCUGGGCACGCCCCUCACCUCGUGUGCUCUCUGGACUCCGUUUUCUUACAGGACACGUAUCUUGGCCAGUAAAAAUUCAUUAUAUAACCUCCCGGGGGUUUUGACUCCCGUAUCACGCAAAAAUCUCCUGUAUUUGUUUCGAGCUGUUUUUCUGACAGAUCUAGAUUAUCAUGACGUAUCUAAGUGCUCCCAAGGACAAGUUCUUCGAGAAGGUCAUCAACCCUUGCCUCGCGGAGGUGCAGCGACACCCUCAAACCAUUGAGAUGCGUGAUGGGUUGCUGCACAUCUGUUGAAAGAACAUGCGGUGCCCCCAUGUUUGGUUUUGGUAAUUGAUGACAUUCUCUAUGGACUAAUGGUUGCCUUGAGUUAUAUUUGAAGGUUUUGUUCAUAGGAUUGUCUUGAAGUCCAUGUGUUGGUUUCAAGGAGUUUAUGAGAUGGCCAAAGUGCUUUUCAAGGAAUUAUCCAAAGAUUGGUCAUGUGUGAGUUGAGAUGGCCAAAGUGCUUUUCAAGGAAUUAUCCAAAUAUUGGUCAUGUGUGAGUUGAGCUUAUUGAAAGCAUGUCUUGAAGAACAAGAUUGUGUGAUCAUUCAUGUUUACCUUCAAGACAUCAUCCAAAUGAUGAGAGUUGGAAAGAGUCAAUGUUGAUCAAGACUAAGUCAAGAGUGAAUCAAGUUGAUCAACUCACAAAGCGUAGAAGAAGUACCGAGAGGGAUCAAGUGAUCCCAUGGUAUGGUAAGCAUUGUCCAUUACGCUUUGUGUACUAACCCAUGGUCUACGUGAGAGUUCUUUGUGGGGUUAGGUAUGUUUCCAUGGUCUUGCGUCAAGAGGAAGAUGUCAUACAACCCAUGGAGGAUGACAUCAAGUGGUGAUCGUCAUCAAGUUUGCAGUGUGCAAGUUCAAGUGGAGCAACUCGAAGAGUGGCUCACCCUAAUGGAGUAUGGGGGAGCAAUCAAGCUUGAAGCUUGUCGUCCAUUGUGGUGUCAAUGGAAUUGUGAAGAUGUGCCAAAGAGUGGCUCACCCAUAGUGGAGUAUGGGGGAGCAAUCAACUAGUCUUCAUCGAGCCAACACAAUCAAGAAAGGUGGUCCAACUUGAGGAAGUCAAGAUCGUCAUCAUCUAGCUCAAGUGGACUAUGUGCAAGGCAAAGGUUUGCCCUUGAUAGGUUUUCUAUUUUACCGGUCUCAUAGUGGUAGUUGGGAGACCGGGUUGUAGGAUCGAUUGCCGUACUAUCAAGGGGGGCUCUCUAGGGAGUAGCUUGAUCGUAUCAUUCGUCGAGAGCUCAAACCAUUGCAUCCUUGCAUCAUCUUUUGGUUCUAGUUUGGUUCCUUUUGUGAGUCUUAGAGCUUAUGGUCAUCUUGAUGACAAGCUUGAGUUCAUCGAAAAUGGAGUUCGCAUGCAUCUUCUAUGAUGUUUUCGGUGUUGGAGGUUUUACCGGUCUUAUCCGAGGAAGGGUUCUCACCAUUUUUUAUGGUCCUUUUCUCAUUUGCUUCUUAUUGAUAUUUCUCUCAAGAUUGUGUUAGCCCUUGUCGUGAGCUUUCCAACAAAUUUGGUUUUGUCGAAUUCGGAGCUCGUAUGGGAAAGUUGUGGCUGUUUUGAUUUUGCCUGGUUUACACAGAGAGGUUGUACCGCCCCAUGGAGAGGUUGUACCGCUUGACCGGUACAACCGGUGUUUGGAGAGGUUGUACCGCUCCAGAAUUGGUCCGGAGGUUGUACCGGUCAUGUACCGCUCUACCACCGGACUAGUCUCUGUUGUGGUGCGGUUGUUGGGCGGUUGUGGGCCGGUUGUACCGCUUAUUGCCUGUUACCGGUUGUACCGGUGCUCAUAGAGGUUUUACCGCUCCUAUGUUGUUCUGUACAUAACGGGCAGAUUCGUGGGGACCUAUUUAAGGGGGUCUUCUUCCCCAAUGGUUCCCCAUCUCUUGAGCUCGUUUUUGCCCCCAUCGUUGACCUUCUUUGAGCUUGCUAACUCUCAAUCCCUCCAUGGAUUCUUGCUAGUUUUUGAGGGAAAAGAGAGAGGAGAUCUAGAUCCACAUUUCCACCAAUCACUUUCUCCUCUAUGUGAGGGGAACCCCUUGGAUCUAGAUCUUGGAGUUCUUGGUGUUCUCCUUCUUGUUCUUCCUCUCAUUUUCCUCCCUAGCAUUAGUUGCUCCGGUGGGAUUUGAGAGAGAAGAACUUGGGCACUCUGUGUGCCCUUGCCAUUGCAUUUGGUGCAUCGGUUUGAGUUCUCCACGGUGAUACGUGGAAGUGAAGUUUGAGAAGCUUAUUACUCUUGGGUGUUUGGGCACCCUAGAGCUUGUUCCUCUUGGGUGCCUUGGCGCCCUAGACGCUUGGUGUUGUUUGGAGCUCAAUCAUUGUGGUGUAAAGCUCCGGGCAAGCGUCGGGGUCUCCAAUUAGGUUGUGGAGAUCGCCCUGAGCAAUUUGACGGGUACCGGUGACCGCCCCCAAGGGUUGCCAAAGUGUACGGGUUCGGUGACCGCCCCCAAGGGUUGCCAUUUGUAUGGGUUCGGUGACCGCCCUCAAGGGUCCCUUAGUGGAAUCACGGCAUCUUGCAUUGUGCGAGGGCGUGAGGAGAUUACGGUGGCCCUAGUGGCUUCUUGGGGAGCAUUGUGCCUCCACACCUCUCCAAACGGAGAUUAGCAUCCGCAAGGGUGUGAACUUCGGGAUACAUCAUCGUCUCCGCGUGCCUCGGUUAUCUCUUACCCGAGCUCUUUACUUAUGCACUUUACUUUGUGAUAGCCGUAUUGUUUCUUGUCAUAUAUCUUGCUACCACAUAGUUGCUUAUCUUGCUUAGCAUAAGUUGUUGGUGCACAUAGGUGAGCCUAGUUGUUUUAGGUUUUGUGCUUGACAAAUUAACCGCUAGGUUUAUUCCGCAUUUGUUCAAGCCUAAAUCGUAAUUAUUUUAAAACGCCUAUUCACCCCCCCUCUAGGCGACAUCCACGAUCUUUCAAUUGGUAUUAGAGCCUCGUCUCUCUUUAUUUGGCUUUACCGCCUAGAGAGUAAAGAUGUCGACUAGGGGAUUAGGAUUCUCUGACACUCUUAGUUUCGAUGGCACAAAUUUUGAUGUUUGGGUAAUUCGCAUGCUUAAUCUCUUUAGGGUCAUGGACCCAAAUUUAGAACAAAUUGUAGAUAUGGGUUUUUCUCCUCCAAAGGAUCCCCAAAGAUUAUCUUUAGAGGAUGAGAAAAACUCUUAUCUCAAUGCUCAAGCUUCUAAUGUGCUUUUCGAUGCUUUGAGCAAUGUAGUUAUAUUUCAACUCAUGCCGUUCCGGGAUGCUCAUGAGUUGUGGACGAAGCUUCAAGAAAAAUAUGGUGUGUCCAAGAUUUGUGGGGAUGAUUGUUCUCCCUCCACCUCCGGUCAUAUAGUCUUCUCAACUUCUUCUACUUCACCUACAUGUGGUUUGCCACAAGGUAAUGAUAUGGUGAGUAGUGUUGGUCAUUGCAAUGAUGAUAGUAUGCUUAUUGUGGAUGAUCCUUCAUCACUAUCUUAUUGCAAUGCUCCUUCUUUGGGCUUUAACACUUCGAGCACUCGAAAUGCUUCAUAUGCUUGUGUUGAUAGUCCUUUCAUAUCAUGUAGAAAUUGCUUGACUAAAUCUCAUGAUGAUAUGUUUACUAUGUCUUGUUGCCAUGAUAAAAAAUGCAUAUAUUUCCUCGAAUUGUUGUGCUAACAAUGUAGAGGAAACCCAACACCCCAUGGAACAAGAUGUGGUCUUGAAUGGUCCUUCAACGGAUCCUACAUCAUCAUCUAUUGAAUUUUGCCUUAUGGCCAAGGCUUCAAAGGUAUCUCCCACUUUGAAUCCCAAUAUAUCUUGUGAUGAUAUUGAUGAUGGCAAGAGUGAUGAUGAUGUUGAUUAUGAUGAAGAGAAUGAUGAUGUUGCCUACUUAAAAUUAAGGGGGAAAUGAUUUUUAAAGCUCUUCUUAAGAAUAAAAUUGCUCGUUCCAACUUCAUGGAAAUCAUGUCUAUUGCUAUUGAGGGCAAGAAAUAUAUUUAUGAGUUGGAAUCUCUUCUUGAGGAGCAUGAGGUCACCAUUGAUCAAAUGGAAGGUCAUGAGCGUGAUUACGCUAAUGAGAUUGUGGACCUCUCUCAAGCUCUUGAACUUGAACAAACCACCAAGGAAUCUCUUGAGGAGACUUUUGCUCUAGAAUUAUCUAGAGUGAGGGAAUCUCAUGAUAGAGCUCUUGAGGUGGCCAAUGAUUUUGAAACUAAAAAUGAGGAGCUUGAAGUUGCGCAUGCUAAACUCCUUGAGGACUUUGAGCACCUCAAAAAUGGCUCAAGGGUCAUUAAGGGUGAGCUCAUCAAACUCACCGAGUCUCAUGCUCAACUUAAAGCUUCUUAUUCAAAAGAGCUUGCCAAGGUGUCUUCUCCUCUUGUUGCUAAUGAUGAUGCUUGUGCUACUAACUCUAUCUCUUGUGAAGCAUCCAUAUUGAAGGAGAAUGUUGAGCUUCGGGCUCAACUUGAGUUGCUAUCUAGCAAUUAUGGGAAAUUGGAAGAAAACCAUGAAAAGCUCUCAAGCUCUCAUGAUGAUCUUCUAGUAUCCCAUAAUGAGCUAAAGAUAUCUCAUGAGGCCAUGAUUUCUAAGGUAACAUCUAGUGAGCCUCAUGUGGAUACUAGCACUAAUUCUAGUCAAAAUGAUAUAUUGCCAUGUGCUAGUCCUUGUAAUUCAUCUACUCACAAUGUUGGUACAUAUUGUGAUGAAUUGCUUUCCUUGCCUUGUUGCUCUAACGAUGAAGCUUAUACUUCCUCUAGUACUUGUGUUGAGACUAACCAUGUAGAGGAAAUCAAAGAGCUCAAGGCCCAAGUCACUUCUUUGAAGAAAGACUUGGGAAAGAGUCAUGAAGGGAAAUCCACACUCAACAAUAUCUUGAGUGUGCAAAAAUCCCCCAAUGACAAAGGUGGACUUGGAUUCAACUCCAACAAGAAGAAGAAGUCCAAGGUGAACAAAAGGAAGGGCCAAGAACAAGUCAAGAAUUCGGCCAAGAUUGUUUGCUUCAAGUGCAAAGUAGAAGGGCAUCAUGUUAGAUCUUGCCCAUUGAAGAAGAAGCCCAUUAGUGACAAGCAACAAGGGAAGCGGCCACAAGUACACUCUCAUUCUCAACCUCAAGUUGAAGGAAGGUCUGUUCCCAAGAAGACUCAAGCUUAUGCUUCUCAAGUUGAGAAAUCAAGUGAGAAGAAAGUGAAGAGUAGAUGUUGCUACCUAUGUCGCGAGAAAGGUCACCUCGCCUCUUCAUGCACUAGUGGUAACUUAUCCAACCCAAUUAUUAUUGAUGAUGUCUAUUCUCUUGGGAAGGAUAAGGUUGGCAAUGUGGUUGCCAAGUUUGUUGGUACUCAAAGUGGUUUGAAGCAAAGAACCAUUUGGGUAGCCAACCUAUUGUGACUAACCUCUUAGGACCCAACUUGGUUGGGGACCAACAAGCUCAAACUUGAUCAAUAGGUGAUGUUGGAGGUCAUUGGAGACUUGGCUACAUUAUGAAGAAUUAAGGGUACUUCAUCAUUCUUAUUGUCUCAAGCCAAGUCAAGUGAAUCAUCAAGAUUAUAUCUUAUAUCCAAUGUGCCUCCUUGCGGUAACUUGUACCUCAAUUGCUUACAUUGAAAGUUACUUGCCCCCUUGCAUGUUUUGGUUUUGUUCCUUGCAUGUGUUUGUAUAUGUUAUGCUUCCAACUUGAUUAUCUUGAGCAAUCAAGUAUGUGUGUGUUGGUUUGCACAUCAUGUACGUGUGUGUCAUGCGUUGAGCCUUUUGCAUCUUGUUUAUUUCUUAGUUGGCUCUUGUGAGAGAUUAAUGGAAUAUCCCAUUAUGGGGGAGUGAUGUGCUUUGUGCACUUCACAAUCCUAUAAAGGUGGGUACAUGGGGAAUACCACUUAGUAUUGAUAUUGCAAGCUUAUCUAGUCACUAUGUGGUAUGUCUUCUCAUGAGAAAUUCAAAUUCUAGAUAGUCCAUUCAUUAUCUCUUGUUGGAUCCUUUAAUUGCCUCUUGUCUAUCUUUAAUUGGUAUCACAUUAUGGGGGAGUAAUAUGCUAUGUGUAUAUUACUAGCCUAGAAAAUGUGUAAAUUUGAGAUAUUGUCAUCUAGAGUUGAUAUUGUAAAUUAUCUUGUUCCUAGGUGGCAUGUUAGCUCUACAAGUUGCAAUUUGCUUUUUGUAUGGUGUGAAGAUGAUGUCGGAUAUCCUUGCUAUCUACCACCGGGAAUUAUUUCCAUUUACUUCUUGUCUUUUGACAAUUGGUACUCACUUUUGUGGUAGAAUUUAUUGAUCAUCUUUACAUUGGAUUUUGUUUUUUAUUUGCCAUUUCUCUUGCCAAGGAUUGUAUCAUCUCCCUUUGUCUUCCAUACCACUUGUCGAUCCUGUUUAGUGUUUUCUAGAUAUAGUGAAAGUGGUGAUCCCACCUUGUGCAAUUUGUAUUCAAAUGCAAAUUCUCUCAAUGCACUAGUCUUGGGGGAGCUAUCCUAUUUUCUAUAAAACACUAGUCUUGCGAUCCUUAUCAAGUGUGUGUUGGUGGAAGGCAAGCCGUUUUCAUUUUGGUACUUUGUGCCAUCAUGAAACUUUGUAGAGAGCUUGGUUUGUUUGGAACCAUCCUCUCUUUUGGGAGUUUGAUACCUUUUUUUGAGUGUAUCAAUGGAUAUCUCAUUCCUUGAUGUAUCUUUUAUGGAUAUCCUCCAAGUGAUGUUUUAUUCAUUUGGUAUCUUUUCUUCACUUGGUUUUUCUUUGUCAUUUGGUAUCGGUUCUUGAAAGUCUUGAGCGUCCAUAUUAACUUCAUGUAGUAUCUUUGGCAUGCUUUCUUUCUUUGACCCAAUAUAUAGGGGAAACUCCACCAAGUCUCAAAUUGGAUGAGAUGUGCAUGAAUUUCAUUUCCUUUUCUAUAUGCACAUAUUUAUGUGGAGUUUGUCCUAUGUAUUGUUGGUGUUUCUAACUCUUUGGUCACAAUGAGUUUGGGUACCAUUUUGUUUGUGUUGUUGUUCUAGGAACAAUUGGAGAUGCAUUGGAUGCUCGGCUCACUCACAAGGAAGGUGGUGUCACCAUGUACUUAUUGGAGUCAAGCUAGGAUGAUCAAUGAACUACUAUCUACCUUUAAUUGGUAUCUACUACAUCCUUCCAAUGAUAUCUCGGUAACAAGUAUCUCUUCAUGCAUUCUUCCUUGCUUUCAACCUUGUGUAGGUUGCAUCUUAGCAUGAUAUUCAUUCCAUCUUCUGAUACUUGUUUCCUUUCUCAAAGCAUCUCAACGAUGAUCUCAUGUUGCUAGUUGUGAUGUCUUUGAUAGUUGUGUAGUAGGAAUUCAUUUAUAUACAACAAGACCAUAUCUAGCCAUGUGCUAUGAUUUCAAGCAAAUAUCUUAUUGGUAUAUUUAUGAUUUCCUUGUGGAUAUCUUGUUCCUCUUGUUGCAACUAUUUCGGGUGUACAUCCUUCUUUGUAGAUAUAUCAUCAUGAUUUCGUCUACCUAGAAUCUUAUACACUUGAGAGAAGUUGCAUAUCUAGUUGAUAUCCUUUCUUUCACAUCCACCUUAUCUUUCCUAUGUUAUUUCUUUGGUGGCUCCGUGAAAGCUUUUGCCUUGAGUGCGUGUCUUCUAUCGUUGCAUCUUGAUGCGCUCUUGUGUGGUGAAGAUUAUUUUCCUCAUGCUUAUCUUUACGAGGUUUUUGCCAUCUUAAUUGGCAUCCCUCGUCUUGAUGCACCUUUCAUCUUCUAUCUUCACCGCAGGUUGUCACAAGCAUAGGUUCUCUAUAUGCUUAUUAGUAAGCUUGUGAACCCAUCUGCUAGUUGUGUGUGGGAAUGAUAGGCCAUGCACCGUGUGCCUCAUUCUUUGAAGACUUUAUUGAUGCUUAAUGCUCUUCUUUACAUUAGUCUUCUCAAGUGCAUUGCCUUGACUCACACACAUCUUUUUGGUUGAGCCCACUCUUAAGUUGCCUCUCUUACUUGUUGCUCAACCAUGUGUUUGUUGCAAGUACUAGGCUUAGUUUCCUAUAUGCUCUCUUGCACUUGUUGUAAGUUUCUAUUGAUUUUGGGGGAGCUAUGAUCCUAUUUUGUGCACUUUGUAUCCAAAUACAAAAAUUCUUGAUGUGCACAAAUCAUGGGGAGCUUCUCUAGUUUCUUUAGAACACUGCUCCGCUCUUAUCAUAAUAUCCUUUAUUCAUGUGGCUCGUAGGAUCAUUGGCCUAGUUGGUUCAAUUGGUAUCUUUUGAUAGCUUGCUUCAAUUGGUAUCUUUUGAUUGCUUGAUUGCUUGUUUCUCUCUUUGUUAUGUCUUUGUGGCAUAUCUUCUUUUUGCAAUCUUUGGGCCUCAAUAUAGUUUGUCUUCCUCCAAGUAUUUACCAUUGGAUGUGUGUAUUGCAUUCCACUCUCUUGUUGAGAAAUACACAAUUUAUGGAGGAACACAUUUUAUAUUGGCCGUCUAAGCUUUUAGCCCAUUUUGGCAAUCGAUGCCAAUGGGGGAGAAGUUUCAGAGAGUUUUGUGGAGAAGUUUAGAGAGUUGACUCUUCUGGCUUUGGUUGUUCCUAAGCAUACGCAUCUCCUACGCAUGCAUUAUUGGUUGUUGCAUUGCAUGUUGAUGCAUAAUUCCUUGUAUAAACUCUCUUGAAAGUGAUUGUCAUCAAUUACCAAAAUGGGGGAGAUUGAAAGAACAUGUGGUGCCCCCAUGUUUGGUUUUGGUAAUUGAUGACAAUCUCUAUGGACUAAUGGUUGCCUUGAGUUAUGUUUGAAGGGUUUGUCCAUAGGAUUGUCUUGAAGUCCAUGUGUUGGUUUCAAGGAGUUUAUGAGAUGGCCAAAGUGCUUUUCAAGGAAUUAUCCAAAGAUUGGUCAUGUGUGAGUUGAGAUGUCCAAAGUGUUUUUCAAGGAAUUAUCCAAAUAUUGGUCAUGUGUGAGUUGAGCUUAUUGCAAGCAUGUCAUGAAGAAGAAGAUUGUGUGAUCAUUCAUGUUUACCUUCAAGACAUCAUCCAAAUGAUGAGAGUUGGAAAGAGUCAAUGUUGAUCAAGACUAAGUCAAGAGUGAAUCAAGUUGAUCAACUCACAAAGCGUAGAAGAAGUACCGAGAGGGAUCAAGUGAUCCCAUGGUAUGGUAAGCAUUGUCCAUUACGCUUUGUGUACUAACCCAUGGUCUACGUGAGAGUUCUUUGUGGGGUUAGGUAUGUUUCCAUGGUCUUACGUCAAGAGGAAGAUGUCAUACAACCCAUGGAGGAUGACAUCAAGUGGUGAUCGUCAUCAAGUUUGCAGUGUGCAAGUUCAAGUGGAGCAACUCGAAGAGUGGCUCACCCAUAAUCGAGUAUGGGGGAGCAAUCAAGCUUGAAGCUUGCCGUCCAUUGUGGUGUCAAUGCAAUUUUGAAGAUGUGCCAAAGAGUGGCUCACCCAUAGUGGAGUAUGGGGGAGCAAUCAACUAGUCUUCAUCGAGCCAACACAAUCAAGAAAGGUGGUCCAACUUGAAGAAGUCAAGAUCGUCAUCAUCUAGCUCAAGUGGACUAUGUGCAAGGCAAAGGUUUUCCCUUGAUAGGUUUUCUAUUUUACCGGUCUCAUAGUGGUAGUUGGGAGACCGGGUUGUAGGAUCGAUUGCCGUACUAUCAAGGGGGGCUCUCUAGGGAGUAGCUUGAUCGUAUCAUUCAUCGAGAGCUCAAACCAUUGCAUCCUUGCAUCAUCUUUCUUGUUUCUUGUUUGGUUCCUUUUGUGAGUCUUAGAGCUUAUGGUCAUCUUGAUGACAAGCUUGAGUUCAUCGAAAACGGAGUUCGCAUGCAUCUUCUAUGAUGUUUUCGAUGUUGGAGGUUUUACCGGUCUUAUCCGAGGAAGGGUUCUCACCAUUUUUUAUGGUCCUUUUCUCAUUUUCUUCUUAUUGAUAUUUCUCUCAAGAUUGUGUUAGCCCUUGUCGUUAGCUUUCCAACAAACUUGGUUUCGUCGAAUUUGGAGCUCGUAGUGGCUGUUUUGAUUUUGCCUGUUUUACACAGAGAGGUUGUACCGCCCCAUGAAGAGGUUGUACCGCUUGAUCGGUACAACCGGUGUUUGGAGCGGUUGUACCGCUCCAGAAUUGGUCCGGAGGUUGUACCGGUCAUGUACCGCUCUACCACCGGACUGGUCUCUAUUGUGGUACGGUUGUUGGGCGGUUGUUGGCCGGUUGUACCGCUUAUUGCCUGUUACCGGUUGUACCGGUGCUCAUACAGGUUGUACCGCUCCUAUGUUGUUUUGUACAUAACGGGCAGAUUCGUGGGGACCUAUUUAAUGGGUUCUUCUUCCCCAAUGGUUCCCCAUCUCUUGAGCUCGUUUUUGCCCCCAUUGUUGACCUUCUUUGAUCUUGCUAACUCUCAAUCCCUCCAUGGAUUCUUGCUAGUUUUUGAGGGAAAAGAGAGAGGAGAUCUAGAUCCACAUUUCCACCAAUCACUUUCUCCUCCAUGUGAGGGGAACCCCUUGGAUCUAGAUCUUGGAGUUCUUGGUGUUCUCCUUCUUGUUCUUCCUCUCAUUUUCCUCCCUAGCAUUAGUUGCUCCGGUGGGAUUUGAGAGAGAAGGACUUGGGCACUCUGUGUGCCCUUGCCAUUGCAUUUGGUGCAUCGGUUUGAGUUCAUGGUGAUACGUGGAAGUGAAGUUUGAGAAGCUUAUUACUCUUGGGUGUUUGGGCACCCUAGAGCUUGUUCCUCUUGGGUGCCUUGGCGCCCUAGACGGUUGGUGUUGUGCGGAGCUCAAUCAUUGUGGUGUAAAGCUCCGGGCAAGCGUCGGGGUCUCCAAUUAGGUUGUGGAGAUCGCCCUGAGCAAUUUGACGGGUACCGGUGACCGCCCCCAAGGGUUGCCAAAGUGUACAGGUUCGGUGAAUGCCCCCAAGGGUUGCCAUUUGUACGGGUUCGGUGACCGCCCUCAAGGGUCCCUUAGUGGAAUCACGGCAUCUUGCAUUGUGCGAGGGCGUGAGGAUAUUAUGGUGGCCCUGGUGGCUUCUUGGGGAGCAUUGUGCCUCCACACCACUCCAAACGGAGAUUAGCAUCCGCAAGGGUGUGAACUUCGGGAUACAUCGUCGUCUCCGCGUGCCUCGGUUAUCUCUUACCCGAGCUCUUUACUUAUGCACUUUACUUUGUGAUAGCCGUAUUGUUUCUUGUCAUAUAUCUUGCUAUCACAUAGUUGCUUAUCUUGCUUAGCAUAAGUUGUUGGUGCACAUAGGUGAGCCUAGUUGUUUUAGGUUUUGUGCUUGACAAAUUAACCGCUAGGUUUAUUCCGCAUUUGUUCAAGCCUAAAUCGUAAUUAUUUUAGAACGCCUAUUCACCCCCCCCCCUCUAGGCGACAUCCACAAUCUUUCAUCCGUGAUGCUGAGGGAGUGAAGGGGAACGGAAGCGUGGAGACGAGGCUCAAAGCAAUGGAGCAACAAGUUUUCAAGUGUCAGGGGAUGGUGGAGCGUGGACUCAACUCCAACUACAUGAUGAUCGCAGAGUUCACCAACAAACACAAGCUGGAUGCCGACAACAUCGGGGAGACCAUCUUCAAGCUUCAUGAGAAAAUCGAGCACCUUCAAGCUCAGAUCUAUGACCUGCAAAACCAAAACUGUGAGUAUGAAUAUAGAUUCAAAAGGAUGAGUUUGGCUGCAGAUUUGAGGAUCCCGGAGACUCGGUCAUCCUUCUAUGAUGCUGAGCCUAUGCCUUGGAAGAAGGACGACAAGCCUACGCCAUCAACAAAAUCACCACCGUCUCCUCCAACAAAGAAGAAUUGAGUAUCUGGUAUGGGCACUCCACUUGGCAACUGCCAAGCUUGGGGGAGUGCCCCGGUAUCGUAUCACCAUCACUUUUAUCUUUACUGUUUAUCUUAGUUCGAUCCUUUUGGUAAUAUCUUGAUCUAGUAGAAUAAAAGUUCUUAUUAUGAUCUAGUUGUGAGUUUUGCUUUAUUAUCCUUCUAUGUAAUCGAGUCCGUGAGUUAUAUAAUAAAGAUUAUUGUUGAGUCAAGGGCUUGAUUAUUUUUACCAUGAUCCCAAGUGAAUAAAAUAAAAGAGAAAGAAAUAAAAAGAAACAAAGAGAUCAUGUGACUCUUAUGGAGAGUAAUGAGCUCACAUAGGAAGAGUAUGAUGAAUAAAAGUUAGUGAGGGUUGACAAACAUAGUUUUGGUCAUCAUUGCAAUUAAUAGGAAGUAAUAAAGAAAGAGAGGUCUUCACAUAUAAAUAUACUAUCUUGGACAUCUUUUUUGAUUGUGAGCACUCAUUAAAAUAUGACAUGCUAAAGAGUUGACAUUGGACAAGGAAGACAACAUAAUGGGUUAUGUUUUCUUACAUCUGAGAUGAAUUAUAUUGUCUUGGAUCUUCCAACAUGAUGAGCUUGCCUUUCCCCCUCAUGCUAGCCAAAUUCAUUGCACCAAGAGAUACUACUUGUGCUUCCAAAUACCCUUAAACCAGUUUUCCCAUGAGAGUCCACCAUACCUACCUAUGGAUUGAGUAACAUCCAUCAAGUAAGUUGUCAUCGGUGCAAGCAAUAAAAAUUGCUCUCUAAAUAUGUAUGAUUGAUUGGUGUGGAAGAAAUAAGCUUUAUACGAUCGUGUGAUAUGGAAGUAAUAAAAGCGACAGACUGCAUAAUAAAGGUCCAUAUCACAAGUGGCAAUAUAAAGUGACAUUCUUUCGCAUUAGGAUUUUGUGCAUCCAACCAUAAAAGCGCAUGACAACCUUUGCUUCCCUCUGCGAAGGGCCUAUCUUUUACUUUUAUCUCCUAUACUGCAAAAGAGUCAUGGUGAUCUUCACCCUUCCUUUUUACAUUUUAUCCUUUGGCAAGCACAAUAUGUUGGAAAGAUCCUGGUAUAUAUGGCUAAUUGGAUGUGGGUUUUCAUGAACUAUUACUGUUGGCAUUACCCUUGAGGUAAAACGUUGGGAGGCAAAACUAUAAGCCCCUAUCUUUCUCUAUGUCCGAUUAAAACUCCAUACCCAUAAGUAUUGCAUGAGUGUCAGCAAUUGUGAAAGACUAUAUGAUAGUUGAGUAUGUGGACUUGCUAAAAAGCUCUUAUACAUUGACUCUUUCCUAUGUUAUGAUAAAUUGCAAUUUCUUCAAUGACUGAGAUUAUAGUUUGUCAGUUUUCAAUGAAGUUUACGAUUCAUACUUGAUAUUGUGAUUGAAUUAUUACUCUAGCAUAAGAUAUCAUAUGAUAAGAAUUAUAUAAUUUGUUGCUCUAAGAAUGAUCAUGAUGCCCUCAUGUCCGUAUUUUAUUUUUAUCGACACCUUCAUCUCUAAACAUGUGGACAUAUUUUUCCAUUUUGGCUUUUCGCUUGAGGACAAGCGAGGUCUAAGCUUGGGGGAGUUGAUACGUCCAUUUUGCAUCAUGCUUUUAUAUCAAUAUUUAUUGCAUUAUGGGCUGUUAUUACACAUUAUGUCACAAUACUUAUGCCUAUUCUCUCUUAUUUUACAAGGUUUACAUAAAGAGGGAGAAUGCCGGCAGCUAGGAUUCUGGCUGGAAAAGGAGCAAAUAUUAGAGACCUAUUCUGCAUAGCUCCAAAAGUCCUGAAACUUCACGAAUGAUGUUUUCCAAAUAUAUAAAAAACAUUGAGUGCAAGAACUUCACCAGGGGGGCACACCCUGCCCACGAGGGUGGGGGCCCGCCCUACCCCCCUAGGCGCGCCCCCCUACCUCGUGGGCCCCCUGGUGGCCCUCCGGUGACCAUCUUCUGCUAUAUGGACUCUUUCGAUGGGAAAAUAAUCAUAAGCCAUCUUCUCGGACGAAACAUCGCCGCCACGAGGCGGAACCUUGGCCGAGCCAAUCUAGGGUUCUGACGGGGCUGUUCUGCCGGGGAAACUUCCCUCCUAGAGGGGGAAAUCAUCGCCAUCGUCAUCACCAACGCUCCUCUCAUUUGGAGAGGUCAAUCUCCAUCAACAUCUUCAUCAGCACCAUCUCAUCUCAAAACCCUAGUUCAUCUCUUGUAUCUAAUUCUUGUCUCCAAGUCCGGGAUUGGUGCCAGUAGGUUGCUAGUAGUGUUAAUUACUCCUUGUAGUUGAUGCUAGUUGGUUUAAUUGGUGGAAGAUCAUAUGUUCAGAUCAUAUAUGAACAUUAAUACCCCUCUGAUUAUGAACAUGUUUAUGCUUUGUGAGUAGUUACUUUUGUUCCUGAGGACAUGGGAGAAGUCGUGCUAUUAGUAGUCAUGUGAAUUUGGUAUUCAUUCGAUAUUUUGAUGAGAUGUAUGUUGUCUCUCCUCUAGUGGUGUUAUGUGAACGUUGACUACAUGACACUUUACCAUUAUUUGGGCCUAGAGGAAGGCAUUGGGAAGUAAUAAGUAGAAGAUGGGUUGCUAGAGUGACAGAAGUUUAAACCCUAGUUUAUGUGUUGCUUCGUAAGGGGCUGAUUUGGAUCCAUAUGUUUUAUGCUAUGGUUAGGUUUACCUUAAUACUUUUUUUGUAUUUGUGGAUGCUUGCAAUAGAGGUUAAUCAUAAGUGGGAUGUUUGUCCAAGUAAGGGCAGCACCCAAGCACCGGUCCACCCACAUACCAAAUUAUCAAAGUACCGAAUGCGAAUCAAACCCUAGUUUAUGCGCUACUUCGUAAGGGGCUGAUUUGGAUCCAAAAGUAUAAUGAUAUGGUUAGAUUUUAUCGUAAUACUUUUCUCAUAGUUGUGGAUCCUUGCGAGGGGGUUAACCGUAAGUAGGAGGUUUGUUCAAGUAAGAACAACACCUAAGCACCGGUCCACCCACAUAUCAAAUUAUCAAAGUAGCGGACACAAAUCAAACCAACAUGGUGAAAGUGGCUAGAUGAAAUUCCCGUGUACCCUCAAGAACGCUUUGCUUCUCAUAAGAGACUGUUUUGGCCUACCCUUUGCCUCAAAAAGAUUGGGCUACCUUGCUGCACUUUUUUUACUAUUACCGUUACAUUCUCUCUACAAAUUAUCUUACUAUCAAACUACUCGUUACUUAUAAUUUCAGUGCUUGCAGAGAAUACCUUACUGAAUACCACUUGUCAUUUCCUUCUGCUCCUCGUUGGGUUCGACACUCUUACUUAUCGACAGGACUACGAAUGAUCCCCUAUACUUAUGGGUCAUCAGGUGACCAAUGAUGUAGACUUAUGAGUCCUCCAAAAUGUGUGGAUGAGGUUCAUGAUAUUGUUCUAAAAAAUGAGAGAAAAAGAGAGAAGGGGCAAUGCUACUAUCCUUUUACCACACAUGUGCUUUAAACUAGACCAUGUUCUUCAUACAAAGAGUCUCCCAAUUUAUCACUUUCAUAUACUAGUGGGAAUUUUUCAUUAUAGAACUUGGCUUGUAUAUUCCAAUGAUGGGCUUCCUCAAAUGCCCGAGGUCUUCAUGAGAAAGCAAGUUGGAUGGAUUCCCACUUUGUCCCAGUAUUGAGCUUUCAUACACUUAUAGCUCUAGUGCAUAUGUUGCAUGGGGAAAGUGCGUUAUAUCGACUAGAGGGGAGUGAAUAGGCGAUUUUUACAAAAUCUUCAUUGAGGAAUUUCAGGGUGAGGAAAUUCCUAAGCGACGAACUACUUAGCAGCCGAAUAAGUACUCAGAUGCAAGCAUAACAGAGUAGUAGCACAGUCAUCAUGAUGAAAUGAAAACAAGCACAGAGUACAUGUAGCGUAAACACAGGAUAAGCAUGCUGAAGACAAAAUGACUGAAGAAAUAGGAUUGAGGAAGUUGAGAAAGUCUUUAGUCAAAGUAUUCAAACAAUAACGAUCAAGUACUUCUACAUAGAAAUGAGGAAAUGAAAGGGUUGAGGAAAUAGAACCAGUAGCUUGGUGAAGACAGUGAUUUGGUAGAGCAGUUCUAACUAUUGUGACAGUUGUAUGUCUGUUUGGAGCGGCUAGGUAUUUAAACCUGAGGACACACAAUCCUGGACACACGGUCCUCAUCGUAUUCUCCUUGAGCUAAGGUCACACAGACCUCACCCAGUCACUCGUGGUAAGUCUUCAAGUGACUUCCAAACCUUCACAGACUCGGUCACUCGGCGAUGCACAAUUUCCUCUUGGAUGCUCUAGACCAUGACGCCUAACCGUCUGGAGGAUACAUAGUCCUCAAAGGUAACAAGCGUCAGUACCACAUAGGAACAAUAUCUUCAGUGAUGCUCAAUCACUUUGGGUUUGUAGGUGUUUGGGUUUUGGUUUCCUCACUUGAUGAUUUUCACUCAAAGUCCUCGGAGGAUGGGAUGCUCUCAAUGACAAGUGUCAGUUUCUCGUGAAGCAGCCAACCAGCUAGUGGUUGUAGGGGGCGCCUAUUUAUAUCCUAGGGAGUAGCCCGACGUGAUAAGACAUAAAUGCCCUUCAAUGAUAUGACUGUUAGGUGGGUAGAUAUUUUGGGACAGUUGGCGCAUAGCACAGCAACGGUCGGAAAAUUGAGCUCUCAAAUUCCUCAGGGCUAUCAUGUUCCUCACUUGUAGGCAAUCCACACCGGUGAAUUCCUAACUCCUCAGUCAGAACAAAUUCCUCGGAGACUAGAAGAUCUUCCUCUGUGUCACUUAAGAAGUUGACUGAACUGUAUGAGCUUUCCAAUGGCUUCACUCAAAAGGAUUGGUAGGUGUAGGAUAUGAGCAUCACUUGGAAACUUUUCCUUAGUUUUACCUUGACCCCCUUUAACAGUACGGUGUUUCCUAUGACUCAAGAAAGAGAAAGACGAAACUACGAAAACAAGAGUCUUCACGCUUCAUAUUCCUUGCAUGAUUAUCAAGUCUUUAGGAUCACACCAAUUUCUUCACUUUCAAAGUCUUUAGAAAGCCAAAUUCUUUAGCUGAAGACAUUCAUUUUUAGGGGUCGACUUUCUCUGUAAAUAUCAAACUCCUCAUAGACUUAUAGACCUGUGUACACUCACAAACAUAUUAGUCUCUUAACCUAUAAGUCUUCAAUACACCAAAAUCACUAAGGGGCACUAGAUGCACUUACACAUGGAAAUCCCUACUCCUCGCAUCGAUAUCAAUUGAAAGGCCUCUCCAUUGCCUAAUGAUCCGCCAAGUUGAUGCAAGACUUUCUUUCUUUUUGACUUGCCUUAUGAAUCUCUACCACCGCAUUCUAUUCCAUCUGUAGUGAUAAUGUCCAUGGCUCACGAUCAUGUAUUGAGUGGAGUUGAAAAUGCUAAAGCGCAUUAAAAAGUAUAAUACAAUUGCUUGGUUUGACACCGGGGUCCUCAUGAUUUAUAUUUAUGCAGUGAAGGUGGAGUCAUGCCAUACUUACACAAUUCAAUGAGUAGGGAUAACAUUCGUUGAGCAAUGUAUAUUUUGAAAAAGUAAUGAUUAUGUUCUUGUAUUCAUGGAUAUUAUUAUGUUGAUAUCAAUUAGUUCAUCGUUUCUCAAUAUUUAUACCGUAAAAAGAUGACGUAAUACACAUGCUAGGUAGCAUUCAACAUCAAAAAUUCUGUUUUUAUCAUUUACCUACUCAAGGACGAGCAAGAAUUAAGCUUGGGGAUGCUGAUACGUUUCCAACAUAUCUAUAAUUUUUAAUCAUUUCAUGCUAUUAUAUUAUCGAUCUUAGAUACUUUAUAUGCAAUUUUAUAUCAUUUCUGGGAACUAACCUAUUAACUCAGUGCCCAGUUGUCAGUGGUAAAACCGGCAGACAUCGGGGUAGGGGGUCCUGAGCUGUGGAUCUCAGAUCAAUGGUAACAGGAAUGAAGGAGAUGAUGUUUACCCAGGUUCGGGCCCUCUCUAUGGACGUAAAACCCUAUGUCUUGCUCUUGUUUAUAUUGAUGAUGAUGUAUCGAGCACAAGCUUGAUCUACCUCGAGGUCGUAAGGAAAGACCUAACUCUAGGGAUAGGUGAAUGUAAUUAUGUUCAAGUCCCUUCUAUGGGCUAAAACCUUUGGCCUAUAUACACGUCAGAUAGGGCAUCUAGGGUUACAUGGUCGGUAUCUAGGGGAGCGCAUGGAUGCAGUAGGAGAUGUCUUGGAGUAUACGCCAAGUCGUAGGUAGAUGAGGUCUUGAUCACGUCUAUGUGUGUAGCUUCCGAAGUACAUCCAAUGGAGAAUGAGGCCAACAUGACUAGCCCGAAGACUAUGGGCCAACUAGGUUGGCACCCCCUAGUCCGGGAUGAUGACCCACAAGUAUAGGUGUUUGGGUUUGGGUUUUGGUUUCCUCACUUGAUGAUUUUCACUCAAAGUCCUCGGAGGAUGGGAUGCUCUCAAUGACAAGUGUCAGUUUCUCGCGAAGCAGCCAACCAGCUAGUGGUUGUAGGGGGCGCCUAUUUAUAGCCUAGGGAUUAGCCCGACAUGAUAAGACAUAAAUUCCCUUCAAUGAUAUGACCGUUAGGUGGGUAGAUAUUUUGGGACAGAUGGCGCAUAGCACAGCAACGGUCGGAAAUUUGAGCUCUCAGAUUCCUUAGGGCUAUCAUGUUCCUCACUUGUAGGCAAUCCACACCGAUGAAUUUCUAAAUCCUCAGUCAGAACAAAUUCCUCGGAGACUAGAAGAUCUUCCUCUCUGUCACUGAAGAAGUUGACUGAACUAUAUGAGAUUUCCAAUGGCUUCACUCGAAAGGAUUGGUAGGUGUAGGAUAUGAGCAUCACUUGGAAACUUUUCCUUAGUUUUACCUUGACCCCCUUUAACAGUAUGGUGUUUCCUAUGACUCAAGAAAGAGAAAAACGAAACUACGAAAACAAGAGUCUUCACGCUUCAUAUUCCUCGCAUGAUUAUCAAAUCUUUUGGAUCACACCAAUUUCUUCACUUUCAAAGUCUUCAGAAAGCCAAAUUCUUUAGUUGAAGACAUUCAUUUUUAGGGGUCGACUUUCUUUGUAAAUAUCAAACUCCUCAUAGACUUAUAGACCUGUGUACACUCACAAACAUAUUAGCCCCUUAACCUAUAAGUCUUCAAUACACCGAAAUCACUAAGGGGCACUAGAUGCACUUACACAUGGAAAUCCCUACUCCUCGCAUUGAUAUCAAUUGAAAGGCCUCUCCAUUGCCUAACGAUCCACCGAGUUGAUGCGAGACUUUCUUUCUUUUUGACUUGCCUUAUGAAUCUCUGUAAGUGCAUCUAGUGCCCCUUAGUGAUUUUGGUGUAUUGAAGACUUAUAGGUUAAGGGACUAAUGCGUUUGUGAGUGUACACAGGUCUAUAAGUCUAUGAGGAGUUUGAUAUUUACAGACAAAGUCGACCCCUAAAAAUGAAGUUCUUCGACUAAAGACUUUGAAUUUCUGAAGACUCUGAAAGUGAAGAAAUUGGUGUGACCUUGAAGACUCGGUAUUCAUUUGACGAACAUGAAGCGUGAAGACUUUUGUUUUUUUAGUUUCAUUUUAUCUUUCUUGAGUCUUAGGAAACACCGUACUGUUAAAGGGGGUCGAGGAAAUACUAAGGAAAAAUUUACAUGUGAUGCUCAACUCAAAAUCCUACACCUACCAAUCCCUUCGAGUGAAGCCAUUGGAAAUCUCAUAUAGUUCAGUCAUAUUCUUCAGUGACGAAGACGAAGUUCUUCUGGUCUCUGAGGAAUUUGUUCUGACUGAGGAGUUAGGAAUUCGCCAGUGCGGAUUGCCUACAUAGUAAGGAACAUGAUAGCCCUGAGGAAUUUGAUACUCAAAAUUCCGACCGUUGUUGUGCUAUGCGCCAGUUGUCCCAAAAUAUCUACCCACCUAACGGUCAUAUCAUUGAAGGGCAUUUAUGUCUUAUCAUGUCGAGCUGCUCCCUAGGCUAUAAAUAGCCGCCCCCUACAACCACUAGCUGGUUGGCUGCUCCGAGAGAAACUGACACUUGUCAUUUGAGAGCAUCCCAUCCUCCGAGGACUUUGAGUGAAAAUCAUCAAGUGAGGAAAACCAAAACCCAAACCCAAACACCUACAAACCCCAAGUGAUUGAGUAUCACUAAAGAGAUUGAUCAUGCGUGGAUCCGACGCUUGUUACCUUUGAAGAUUGUGCUUCUUCCAAACAGUUAGGCGUCAAGGUCUAGAACAUCCAAGAGGAAUUGUCGAUCGCCGAGUGACCAAGUUUGUGAAGGUUCGGAAGUAACCUAAAGACUUACCACGAGUGAUUGGGCGAGGUCUGUGUGACCUUAGCUCAAGGAUAAUACGGUGAGGAUUGUGUGUCCGGGACUGUGUGUCCUUAGGUUUAAAUACCUAGCCGCUCCAACCAGAUGUACAACUGAGACAGCAGUUGGAACUGGUCUACCAAAUCAUUGUCUUCACCAAGCUCAUUGGUUCUAUUUCCUCAACUCUUUCAUUUCCUCAUAACUGUGUUGAGUGCUUGUUCAUAUCUGUGUUUGAAGACUUUGACUGAAGACUUUCUCAAUUUCCUCAGUUCAAUUUCUUUAGUCGGUUUAUCUUCAUCCUGUUUUAUCCUGUGCUUACACGUUCUGUACUCUAUGCCUGUCUUCAUUUCAUCAUGAUGACUAUGCUUGUGUUCUGUUAUGUUUACUUUUGAGUACUUAUUCCGCUACUAGUUGUUCUUCGCCAAGGAAUUUUCUCACCUGCAAAUUCCUCAGUGAAGAAUUCAUAAAAAUCGCCUAUUCACCCCCCCUCUAGUUGAUAUAACGCACUUUCAAUUGGUAUUAGAGCAAGGUACUCCCUUGUUCUGUGUGAUUUUGAUUUAACCGCUUGGAGUUUUAGUUAUGUCGACUGCAGGUAUGAUCAAGGUCUCUGCUGGGUGUCCUACCUUCGAUGGGACGGACUACCCCUACUGGGAGAAUAAGAUGCGAAUGCAUCUUGAGGCAAUUAAUAACGAUCUCUAGUAUGUUGUGGAAAAUGGUGUUCCCUCAGUCACACCUUCUCUGAAUGCUGCUGAUGUGAAGAGAUUCAAGAAACUCGAUUCUCAAGCGAAGAAUAUCAUAUGUGGCCAUCUGAGCAAAGGACAAUAUGGAAGAGUGAGUGCUUUGGAAACUACUAAGCUUAUCUGGGAUAGGUUGUCCAAGGUGAAUGAAGGAGUCUCAACACAGCGUGACUCUCGAGUUGAUGUUCUUCGCAAUAUCUUCAACCGCUUCAAAAGACUCGAGAAUGAAAAUGUUCAACAAACCUUCGAUCGCCUCACUGACAUCUCAAAUGAGCUUCAAUCACUUGGUGCCACUAACAUCACCGACCAUGAGGUGGUGAAGAAAUUGCUGAGAUCGCUUGAUUCCUCAUUUGAUACUCUGGCAUUGAUGAUACAAGAACGUGUUGAUCACAAGUCACUUGAUCCCGCUGAUAUCCUCGACAGGCUAAAUACUCAUGAGUUCUAGCUUGCUGAAAAGAGAGAUCUCUAUGGUUCGAGCUAUGGCAGAUCACGUGCACUGAAGGCCAAGGCAGCAUCUGAGUCCGAAGAUGAAGACUCUGGUAGCAGCCUUGGUGAUCCUGAAGAACUAAGCCAUGAGCUAGCACUACUCGUGAAGAAAUUCCAGAAGUUCUCAAGACGUCGUCGCUUUGGAAGACCCUCAAGGAGCAAUGAUUCCUCAUCCAGUGACUACAAGAAGAGGCUUUGUCACAAAUGCAAGAAACCUGGACAUUACAUUCAAGAUUGUCCUCAGUGGGAAAAGGAAUCAAGGAAGAAGAAAUACAAGGAUUACAGUUCUGAUGAUGCAAAGAAAAAUAAGAAAUCCUCAAAAUCUUCAUCAUCAAAAUCCUCAAAGUCUUCAUCUCACAAGAAGAGCAGCUCCAAGAAGGCUCGGGCAUUCAUUGGCAAGGAAAUGGACUCUGAGGUUGAAUCUGAAGAAAAUGAGGAAGAGGAGGCAUCUGAGGAGUCUGAAUCUGGUGUGGCGAGCCUAGCCCUCACUACUGCAUUCGUCAGCAAAUCUAUCUUCAACACUGAAGAAAAUGACCUCACCAACAAGGCUGAUGAAGGCAAUGAUGACUACGCUCCCACCUAUUGCUUCAUGGCAAAGGGUGCCAAGGUACUCAAAUAUACCUCCUCUGAAUCAAGUGAGAAUGAAUCUGAUGAAAACCUCAAGCCCAGCUAUUCUAAACUUGCUAAGAUUGCUGUAAAACAACAAAGGGAUUUUGAAAAGGUUCAAAACAUGCUAGACAAAAGUGAUGAUAUGUUGGGUGAAGAAAUGGAUCGCACUAAAGCCUUGACUGAAAAUCUUCAGAGACUUCAGACUAGGUUUGACAACCUUCAAGGUCAUCAUAACACUCUCUUAUCUGAUCAUGAGAAGCUUUCUUAUGAAUUUCUUCAAAGAAAGCAAGAUCUUGAAAAGCUAAGAGUGAGUUAUGAAGAUCUUCAGAAGGAGCGCGAUUCAUUACUUGCUCAACAAAUCAGCGCUUCUUAGGAAGAAUUUGUUCCUCCUUGUUUGAAAUGCAUUGAACGUGAAUCUGCUAAUUCUUCACCUGAAUGUUCAAAUGCUUCUAAUGCUACAAAUUCUUCACCUGCCUCUGCUAUCACUAAUUCCUCAUCUGAGGACACUGCUAGUAUCACUGAUAAUGCAGGACUGAAGGAAUUGUACAUGGCAGGCAUGUACAAAAGCCUCAAAGGGCAUCAGACUCUUUGUGAUGUGCUUAAAAAGCAUAUCCUCAACAGGAACCCUAGGAAAGAGGGUAUUGCCUUUGAGAGGAAACUCAAUGUUGAUGGUACAUAUUGGAAGCCUGAGCAGUACCCCAAAACCUCAUGGGUUGCUGCAAAGGGACCUCCAGUUGAUCCAUCUAAUUUAUCUGGCUUUGCAUGUGAAUCUCCUCGUUCUGAUGAUGAGUCAAUUGACUCCAACUAUAAACUAUUUAAAAAUCAGAAUGGUGAAAUAUUUGCUAGAUAUGUUGGCACUAACUGCAGGAACGGUCCUCCUAUGAAGAAAAUCUGGGUUCCCAAAAGGUGCCUUGAAAGUCUUCAGGUGAAUGUCCUCAGGACACCACCUGUGAAGAAUAGGAACCCCAGGUCAAAUUCUUCAUAUGGACCAAAUUCCUCAAAAGGAUCAAAGUCCUCAUAUGAAUAUCAUCGUGCUAACAACUCUGUUUCGCAGGGAAGAGCUAAGGGCUAUGAAUAUGAGCAUUAUUCUUCUAAUCAUUAUGUUCAUAAGUCCUCGAAGAAUUUCUCUGCUUAUUCAUAUGCUUAUCCUAACCCCUCUUAUGUGAAACGAAAUGGGUUGGCGUCUAUGCCACCUUUCUCAUAUGGAGCUCGCAGAGUGAUGAACUCUUUGCCACCCCUUCAGAUGUGGGUGGUGAAGAAAAAGAACUAAUCUCUUCUGCAGGGUCAGGUCUCUAGACGAAUGUAAUCGUCUGAAGAAUUUGCUGGAGACCUGAGAGUGCCUGAUAGGACGCGGGCUAACCAUGAAGAAAUGAACUUUAAUUUCUCAUGUCCUCAUACUGCUUUAUCUGUUCUAUUGCUUGAUGAAAUUGAUCUGAUGAUUUGAUGUCAUAUUCUUCAUUGAUGAAGUAUAUGAGUUCGUAAGAUGCACUAAUUCAUCUGCAGGAUGAUCAACCCAAAGCCACUGAGUGGGUCCUCGAUAGUGGAUGUACAAAUCACAUGACUGUCGACAUGAAUCUAUUGAUGGAUGCUCCAUUAUCUCCGCCACAUCUGAAGCAUAUCAUCUUUGCUGACAAAGGCAAAAUUCAGGUAUUGGGUCUAGGUAAGGUUGCGAUCACAAAUGAUCGACACAUGGACAAAGUCAUGCUUGUCGAGUCCUUAGGAUACAACCUCAUGUCUGUCUCAAUGUUUUGCGACCUUGAUAUGGUUGUUGUCUUUGGCAAGUACCGCUGUGUUGUAGUUAUGGAAGCUGAAAAUUCCAAAGUCUUCGAAGGCUUUAGGAGAGGAGAGUUGUAUAUUGUUGAUUUCUCUAUAGGACCACAACCAGCCAUGUGCCUACUUGCAAAAGCUUCAGAAGGCUGGUUUUGGCAUCGACGACUUGGUCAUCCAGCAAAGACUAUCAUGACCACCACUCAUCCAUUUGAAUUGCUUCACAUGAAUCUCUUUGGUCCUAACCAUUAUUCUGCAGUCUCAAAUGAGGCAUCUCAAUAUGGCUUUGUUAUUGUUGAUGAUUGCUCUCGAUACACAUGGGUACACAUUGUUACUUACAAACAUGAAGUGCAGGAAGUCUUCAAACGAUUUUCCUCGAGGGCUUCAACCAACUUUGGUGUGAAGAUCAGGCACAUCAGAAGUGACAAUGGAACUGAGUUCAAGAAUUCUGGUCUUGAUGACUAUCUUGAUGAACUUGGUAUUACUCAUGAGUUAUCUGCUCCUUAUACUCCUCAGCAGAACGGCAUCGUGGAGCGCAAGAAUAGGACUCUUGCUGAGAUGGCUCGCACUAUGCUUGAUGAAUACAAAACGCCUCGUCGUUUCUAGAUUGAGGCAAUUGAUACUGCGUGCGACAUCAUCAACAGAGUAUAUCUUCACAAAUUCUUCAAGAAGACUGCCUAUGAACUCCUCACUGAUAAGAAACCCAAUGUAAGUUAUUUCAAAGUCUUCGGUGCUAAAUGUUGGAUUAGAGAUCCUCAUCACAACUCAAAAUUUGCACCGAAAGCACAUGAAGGUUUUAUGCUUGGUAACGGAAAGGACUCGCACACCUACAGAGUCUUUAACAACGUUCUUCAUAAGGUUGUUGAAACUGUAGAUGUGCGGUUCGAUGAAAGUAAUGGCUCGCAAAGAGAGCACUUACCUUGUGUGAUAGAUGAACCACCACCUGAGGAAACUAUCAAGUUCAAGGCUACUGAGGAUGUCAUUCCUACUGAAGAAUUUGCUGAAGAAUUCAUUCCAGAACAUGAAGAACAUCGAGCUAAUGCACCUGGAGAAAAUACUGAAGAAAAUGGUGCUAAAGAAAAUGCCGAUCAAAUUCCUCAACGACAAACAGCUCAUCCUCGCGUUGCAAAAGAAGUGCAAGUUGAAAAGAUCAUCAAUGACAUUAAAGCGCCAGGUCCUCUCACACGCUCAAAAGAUUCACAUUUAUCUAACUUUUGUGGGCACCAUGCUUUUGUCUCUAUCACAGAGCCCACUAAGGUAGAUGAAGCAUUUCUGGAGCCUGAGUGGAUUCAGGCCAUGCAAGAAGAAUUACAUUAGUUCGAGCUCAACAACAUUUGGGAACUGGUCAAACUUCCAAAUCCUUGCAAGCACAAUAUCAUUGGCACAAAAUGGAUCUAUCACAACAAGCAAGACAAAAAUGGUCUUGUGGUAAGGAAUAAGGCAUGGCUUGUAGCUCAAGGCUACACACAGGUUGAAGGAAUUGAUUUCGAUGAAACUUUUGCACCUGUUGCUAGACUUGAGGCUAUUCGCAUAUUACUUUCUUAUGCUAACCAUCAUGAUAUCACUUUAUAUCAAAUGGAUGUGAAAAGUGCAUUCCCCAAUGGUAAGCUUGAGGAAGAAGUAUAUGUUGCUCAACCCCCAGGUUUUGAAGAUCCAAAGAAUCCUGACAAAGUCUUCAGACUCAAUAAGGCCCUCUAUGGCCUCAAGCAGGCCCCACGGGCAUGGUAUGAUACUUUGAAGGAAUUCCUUAUGAAGAAAGGCUUCAAACCCAGUUCACUCGACCCUACUCUUUUCACUAAAUCUUAUGAUGGUGAAUUUUUUGUGUGCCAAAUAUAUGUUGAUGAUAUUAUCUUUGGUUGUACUGGCCAACGUUAUAGUGAUGAUUUGCCUAUAUGAUGAGUGAAGAAUAUCAAAUGUCUAUGAUGGGAGAGUUGAAAUUCUUCUUAGGUCUUCAAAUUCGUCAACAAUGCAAUGGCAUAUUCAUAUCUCAGGAGAAAUACCUCAAGGACGUACUGAAGAAAUUCGGCAUGCAAGAUUGCAAAGGCGUCAAAAUUCCUAUGCCCACAAAUGGCCAUCUGUGCACUGAUGAAAAUGGUAUUGACUUCGAUCAUAGGGUAUACCGCUCCAUGAUAGGUUCCUUAUUAUACUUAUGUGCAUCUAGGCCAGAUAUAAUGCUUAGUGUUUGCAUGUGUGCCCGAUUUCAAACUGCACCGAAGGAAUCACACCAUAAGGUUGUGAAGCGUAUUCUUCGAUAUCUAGCUCACACACCAACACUUGGAUUAUGGUACCCCAAGGGCUCGGCUUUUGAUCUCAUCGGAUAUUCUGGCUCUGACUAUGCUGGUGAUCGUGUGGAUCGCAAGUCAACAUCUGGUACAUGUCAUUUCCUUGGACGAUCUUUGGUCUGUUGGUCCUCGAAGAAACAGAACUGCGUAUCAAUAUCUACUGCCGAAGCUGAGUACAUUGCCGCUGGUUCUUGCUAUGCCCAAUUGCUAUGGAUGAAGCAAACUCCCAAGGACUACGGCGUCAACAAGAAGAAUGUGCCUCUCUUAUGUGACAAUGAGAGUGCCAUCAAGAUUGCUCACAACCCAGUUCAGCACUCGAAGACAGAGCACAUUCAGAUUCAUCAUCAUUUUCUUCGUGAUCAUGUGUUGAAGGGCGACAUUUCUAUUGAGCAUGUGAAGACUGAAGAACAGCUAGCCGAUAUCUUCACAAAGCCCUUGGAUGAGAAGAGAUUUAGCAAGUUGCGGUGUGAGCUAAAUAUCCUAGAAUCUUCGAAUGUUCUCUGAAAAGGACACUCAUCCUAACACUUACGCAAAAUUGAUGACUUAGAUGUGCAACACAUGAAGAAACUUUUUUCUUCAAUCAAUGAAGAAUAACACUCUAAGUGUGAAGAAAUUAACGAAGAAUUUGAUUCUCAGAACCCUACGACAAUUGUACGCGGUGUCUGAAAUCAUCAUUCUUAUACGGUGGGUCACGCCACCACCAAAAGUUGAAAUUCCUCAGUUGUUCAAAUUCUUCAACUUUGCAUUGUCUUCACUGUUUUCGUCGUUUUUUUUCAUUGGCUAUAUAUAUGUGAGUUUAUGUCCUCUACAACAUUCACUUAUGGCUAUUUCUUCAAGAUGGUUUAUCUACUAAGUGAAUGUGAUCAGACCCUUCCCCCUCUAUGCUAUACUCAACCCAAUCUGUUCACAAAUUCUUCAUGUGCGUUCUACUUGAAACUCGUUCAAAAUCUUCAUUGUGUCCUUGUCAGCUGAAGAAAUUGCCAACGGAACUUUAAAACCUAUCUUAUCUAAAUUUUUGGCUUUGCCGCUCAAACCAUUCCGCAUCCCACGAAAUACUUAUCUAUUCACCCACGAUCGCACACGAUCUCCACUUCUCAGAACGUGGGUGACACAUGUCAAGAGAAUGAGAAGGGUCAGGGGCACGUUCGUCCAAAUUCUUCGGGCGAACAGUUUUUCACCGUGGCUAUAAAUACCCCCCUUCCCCUUCCUCACUUCCUUUAGUCCGCUCGACCUCUCUCUAGCUCGAGCUUCUCAAACCCUAGCGCCGCCGCUACUUCAUCGUCGCCGGUGAGGAAAAGCUUCACUGCCUCGACCUCAUCGCCGUCAUACUCGCGCUGGCCAUGGAAAUCUCCACUCCGCCGCCGCCGUAGGUGUCUUCCUCCGCCAAGUUAGGGUGUGGAAGAUCUGCACUGACGAACUUCACAUCUCCACAUACCAGUUCAUCGUGUUCUUCGUCUAGGGUAAUUAAAAGUUACUUUUACUGCCCUCUUUGAUUGAAAUGAUUUCUACAAAAUCCUCAAAGGUCUUUUUUUCAUAUCUUCACACACUAAAACACCUCACAUGUCAUCUGUUCUUGAUUCGUUUCUCUAAGCUAUGUUUUUCUUCAAGAUUCCUCAAAUGUGUGGAUUUUCGAUCUAUACAUCUCUGGAACCUAAGACAAAGAACGCUUAGUGAAAUUCUUCAAGACUCAUCUGGUCAAAUUCCUCAAACUUAUUCUUUAUAAAAAACCUUCUGAGAACGCAUAUGACCUCUCCAAAUUCCUCGCAAAUAUACUCUAUUCACAGGUACUCAUGUCAGCUGCUGAAUCACUUUCUCAUCAACUUAACUCAUUUGCAGCGUUCCUUGAAGAAAAGUUGCAUACCUCUUCAGAGAAUUCAAUUGUUCAAAUUCCUCAACUGAAGAAAAUGAUUGAUGGUAAGAAGCCACAGAAAGGAGGAAAGAAGCCAGAGGUCAACACAGCAUUUGAAAUCCUUGAUGACAUCUAUGUUGGGUACUGCACACACCCUGAGGAAGAUAAAAAUCAGCGCAAGGUGCGCAUUCAAAAGAUUGAGAGGAGAUGGGCAAGAGAGUGGAGGGAGUACAGAUAUGUCACUCCCAAGUAUAUGAAGAAAUUUGCACUAAUCCUCCAUGCCCAAGACCUCCGUUGGCACAUGGCCAAAUAGCUGAUCCCACCAGCCUCAAGCGCGGUGAGGAUUAUCCUGAUGAAUGGGCCAAGCGCCAUGCCAAGUUGGCCAAACAAGCAAAAGAUGCAGUGAGGAAAUUCAACAAAGACUUUGCUGCCGCUGCUGCUGUUGAGGCCUCUGUAAAGCCGAAGAAGGUCAUGCCUAAGAAGCUUGCUCAUAAGCCCAGUGCUUCACCAGCAAUGCCCUCACGGACAAGUUCCUCAGCUAUGCCCUCACGGCCAGAUUCCUCAAAGCCCUCAAGGCCAAUUCCUCAUGCUGCUCCUGCUCCUCCAAAAUCCUCAGCUCCUCCAAAGUCCUCAGCUGCUCUGACAAAGUCCUCUACACCUGUGCAUCUUGCCACGUGCCAAAGGACUACAGGCAUCUCUAUUACCUCGGGAGCUUCAGCUAGUUCCUCAGCUGCACCCAAUUCUUCAACGGGACCCUCUCUGCUGAAGACAAAGGCCACUGCUGGACAAGGUCCUCGCCCUAGUCCUCAGAAGAAGCGGGUCACCUUCCAAGUGUCGUAUGAAGAAGACGAAGCUGAUGAUGAAGAACUUGCUGAGAUCAUCAGAGAUAGGCAAGUCAGGGCCGCUAGAGCCAAAAUCACAAAUGUGCCACUGCUUUUGGAUCCAAGGUUAAUCCUUGACUAUAUUGAUCUCUGGCACAAGGACCCAAACACUCCUAUGCCUGAUUUCAAGUUGACUCCUGGCCAAAGUCACAUGCUGACCCAUUUCAUCCAAGAAGAAAAAUGGAAAUAUGAGAAGGCCAGGCAGAUCAAGAAAGCGCAAUAUAAGAAGGAGAAAUUUUUGAAGAACAACGUUGUCACUAUGACAACUGAUGAACCUAUAAAAAUACAGUCUGAAAUCAAAACCCUCAGUGAUGACUUAAAAACCUACUAUGCUGAUUGGCAAGGAGCCAAGGUCAGGUUUGUUAAACUGAUUGAGAAGUUCACCCCCAAUGGUGCAGCUUCAUCGCAACAGGAAAUUCCUCAGGCUGAAGCAUCUACUCAGCCAACUGAAGAACAUGCCAGCACCACUGAUGACUUUCAGGAUGCUGAAGAAAAUGUGAGUUCCAGGGCUGAUGACUGCAUUCCAGCCGCUGAAGAAAUUGCUAGGGAAUCCACUAGUGGUGCGCCUGAAGAAAAUGAAGAAGUCAGGGCAACUGCAUCAGUUGUGCCUGAAGAAAAUCAACCAGAUUCCUCUGCUCCUCCUGCGCCUACACCAACUCCGAUCCUUCCAUCUGCAUCAGAUGUGAAGAAGACCAAGGCUGUAGAGCGUGUAGCUGUGAAGAAAAGGAAAGCAUCAGCUACUUCAGAUUCUUCAGCUCCGAAGAAAAUGAAGUCUAUGACAAGUUUGUUCGCAAAUCCCAUUGAUGUUGUUCCGAUCUCAACCAUGCCAUCAAAGGACCUUAUUCCUUUUAAUGAAGAAUAUGUGAUCCCUAGCAGAUCUGAUGAAGAAAAUCCUUCUGCUGCUUCGCCAGAGCAGAUGGAUGAAGAAAUUGAAGCGGAUCAAAUCCCUUCAACACCAGUUGUUUCCUCGCCUAUGCCUCAGUUCACAGCUGAAGAGGCUGGCGUUGAAGAAAUUGGAGAUGAAGAUGUGGGCAUUGGCUGCACCAUACCAGUGAUGAAUCGUGACUUUUGGGAAAGUCAGCAUCCCAACUCUCCACUGUUCACACCUUUACAGCAAAUACCUCAGUCCCCUACACAAACUGUUCAAAUGGGCUCUGAAGAAACUCACCCCACUUCGUUUGUACGUGAAGAAAUUCCACCCACUAGUGCUGAAGAAACUGUUGUUGCUGAACAUCUGAAGAAACAGACUGACACUGAAGAGGAACUAGAAAUUCCUCAGCCUGAAGAACCUGAGAUUGUGAUUCCUGAGGUUGUGAUGCAACUCACUAACACUCCUCUACCCAAGCCAAAGGAUCCAUUCUCCAGGAAGCAAAAAUUCAAGGCUGAUGAUUUCUUCGGCAAGCACGCAUUCUUCACAGACUACAACCUCUAUGACUCUGCUCGCAUUAGGAAAAGGCAUUUCUGGACUGCCAGCCAGGCUAAUUUCUAUUCCUCAGUGUUGUUCAACAAAGACAAAAUCUUCUACCAUGAGCACAUUCCUCACAUGGAUAUGGAAUCUCUGCCGUGAUUCGUGCCAGUCCUCAGUUUUCUUCACGACGCUGGACUGUUAAAUUUCUGCACUGACAUCUGUGAUUGGAAUGAAGAACUCAUUCUUCAAUUUUAUGCGACGCUGCACAUCACAGGAGAUUCAUGGGUGCUGGACUGGAUGUCUGAAAACACUCACUACAUGGCACCAGCUACUGAAUUGCUUCGUGCUUUACCACUCAGUCCUCCCCUUGAAGCUGCUCGUUGCAUCUACAGUGAAUCUGAGCUUAUAAAUCACUACAUGCAAGUUCUGAUGAAGCCUUUGAAGCCAGGUUAGGCCCCACGAACCAAAUUCCUCGUGAAGGAAUUACUAUAUGUGCCUCGGACUGUCUAUCGCAUUCUGACGAGGACAAUGAGUCCCAUCAAAGGCCACGACUCAUCUACUGAGGAAAUAGUUGGCAUCAUGAAGAAUCUGCUAUUCAACAUCAUACAUAGCAUUCCUAUCAACUAUCAUGAUUUCUUCAUGAGGACUCUGGCAAAUGCUGCACUUUCUCCAUUUGAGCUGAAGCCUUAUGCACCUUGGAUUAUGAGAUUCCUCAGGACAAGGUCUUCACUCAACUACAAGGCUGAUUUUCAGAAUCACCUUAGCUAUCUGCCCCUGAUUGAAGUCCUCAAGUAGGCUUUUACUUCAACUAAUGAAAAGGGCAAGGCCCCUGCAGUCAUUGAUGAAGGCAUUCAUCCAUUGGAUGGUCAGUUUCGCAAAGCUGCACCUUAUUCCACCAAUGAUGACUCUGCCACACAUGACUCUGCUGCCAAUGCACCCAAGUCUACUCCUCAAGCCACUGCUCCUCGUGUGAUGACUGACCAUGAGCUUCUGCUUAGUCUUCACUAGAAGGUGGAUCGAAACCAUAAAUGGGUUAAGCGUCAGUUUGGUUCAUUUAUUCACAACAUGACUGCUACACACAAUGCAGUGAAGAAAAACCAUUACUACCUCCAUGAAGUUUUCGGUCGCACCUGGGCCAUUCUAUCACAUCUGUAUGGUGAAGAAGAUCUCAAGGCAAUGGGUCUCAAGGAAGAUUUUGACUGGUCUGCACCUCCAUCGAAGAAAUACAAGAAGGUCAAGGUUCCUCCUUUGGUGUCCAGCUCCUAUUCUUCAUCGCGCGACACCGAUGAGCAUGAAGACUUGGACGACACUGCAGCAGGCCCUUCCACGACAAACGACCCCAACAACGCUGGUGCUCCUUCAUCAACUUGAUAUUCUUCAGGGGCGUUAGUCAUCAUUUUCGAUCCUUUUGGUCAUUCGAUGACAAAGGGGGAGAAUUUUGAGUUAGUCUUCAAGCGGGUCUGUCUAUAUGGGUGUUUUUUUUGCUAAGUUACAACUCUCGUUCUUCUGAAACUUUAUUGGAUCGAGUUGUAAACUUAAACUCGAUGGUGCUCUAAUACUUUUGAUGUGUUUUUCUGCAUGUUUAUUCCUCAUAUAUGUUAAUGCACGCAUGCUGAAUUACAUCAGUCACCAUAUUUCAUCAUGCAUUUCAAAUUCCUCAUUAUGAUAUGUCAAAUGCGUGUAUGAAUUACAAGAUAUAUGGGGAGAUCUCCAUGAUUCAACUCUUCAAGUGUGCAUUGCUUCAAAUGCAAAUUCCUCACUAUGCACAUCUUCAGGGGGAGUUCUUCUAUAUCUUGCAAUCAAAUUCCUCAAUAUCAGUAUUUACACUUCAUAUGUUUAUCCCCGUUAAAAACUUACCCUAUAUUGUCAUCAAUCACCAAAAAGGGGGAGAUUGUAAGUGCAUCUAGUGCCCCUUAGUGAUUUUGGUGUAUUGAAGACUUAUAGGUUAAGGGACUAAUGCGUUUGUAAGUGUACAAAGGUCUAUAAGUCUAUGAGGAGUUUGAUAUUUACAGAGAAAGUCGACCCCUAAAAAUGAAGUUCUUCGACUGAAGACUUUGAAUUUCUGAAGACUUUCUGAAGACUCUGAAAGUGAAGAAAUUGGUGUGACCUUGAAGACUUGGUAUUUAUUUGAGGAACAUGAAGCAUGAAGACUUUUGUUUUUGUAGUUUCAUUUUCUCUUUCUUGAGUCUUAGUGUAACGCCCCGAGUCUGUUACGCCAGUUGUCUUCCAGUUAUUCGCUGUUGUUGCCUUGUCAUUUGUUUGCGUGUCAUGCAUUUCAUAUCAUGUCAUCAUGUGCAUCGCAUUUGCAUACGUGUUCGUCUCAUGCAUCCGAGCUUUUUCCCCGUUGUCCGUUUUGCAAUCCGGCACUCCUAUGUCAUCCGGCGCCCCCUUUUGCCUCUUUUCAUGUGCGGGUGUUAAAUGUUCUCGGAUUGGACCGAGAUUUGCCAAGCGGCCUUGGUUUACUACCGGUAGACCGCCUGUCAAGUUUCGUGCCAUUUGUAGUUCGUUUGAUACUCCAACGGUUAACCGGGGAACCGUAAAGGCCUCGUGUGUGUUGCAUCCCAAAACCCCUCCAAAGUGGCCCAAAACCUUUCCAAACCCCCUCCAUCCUCUCGACCGUUCGAUCAUGAUCACGUGGCCGAAAACCGCACCUCAUUUGGACUCUCCUAGCUCCCUCUACCUAUAAAUAUGUGCCUCCCCCUGAAAAUUCGUGGAUGAACCCUAGUCUUCUUCAUCCUCGCGCCGCCGGACAUGUCCGCACCGAGACGGACAUGUCCGCCACCGCCCCUCGUCCAAUCGGACGCCGCCACAUCACCACCACUGCCCUUUCUCUCCUCCGCGCCCGCCGCGGCCCGCCAGGGCCCGAGGCCGGCCGGCCCCGGGCCAGAUCUGGGCCGCCGCCCCGCGCCCGCUCGCCGACGCUCCCGCCGCUCCAUCNNNNNNNNNNNNNNNNNNNNNNNNNNNNNNNNNNNNNNNNNNNNNNNNNNNNNNNNNNNNNNNNNNNNNNNNNNNNNNNNNNNNNNNNNNNNNNNNNNNNNNNNNNNNNNNNNNNNNNNNNNNNNNNNNNNNNNNNNNNNNNNNNNNNNNNNNNNNNNNNNNNNNNNNNNNNNNNNNNNNNNNNNNNNNNNNNNNNNNNNNNNNNNNNNNNNNNNNNNNNNNNNNNNNNNNNNNNNNNNNNNNNNNNNNNNNNNNNNNNNNNNNNNNNNNNNNNNNNNNNNNNNNNNNNNNNNNNNNNNNNNNNNNNNNNNNNNNNNNNNNNNNNNNNNNNNNNNNNNNNNNNNNNNNNNNNNNNNNNNNNNNNNNNNNNNNNNNNNNNNNNNNNNNNNNNNNNNNNNNNNCGCCUGCGCCGCUCUGGUCGCCGGCCACCGCCGCCCUCGCCGGAGCUCCGCCUCCGCUGGAUCCGGGAGAGGUGGACAAGAUCCACCGGUCAUAGGAACCAAACGCCUCCACUCUGUCCCGGAACCACUCCAUCCCGUUGACUUUUCUCGGAGGUCCGUUUUUCUGCUAAGUCCCUAAGUGUGUGACAUUUUGUGCCCAUGUUCAUCGCAUCAUAACUUCAUUACCGUUGCUCCGUUUUGCAUGCAUGAUAUAUCAAAAUGUUUACCAUGAUGUCCUAUUCAUUUUGUUCCAUUGUGCCAUGCUUGUUUGAGUCCAUCUUGAUGCCCUAAUGACUGUUCCAAGAGUGCUUCAUAAUGUUAGUUCCUGUUUCUUAUUAGUUUAUGAGCAUUUGUCAUUUUUGCCAUGAAUAUUGUGUGCUCCAUAUGAACUUGAGCCCUACAUGUGUUUUGGGCUAUGCCAUGCCAUCUUUAUAGGGUGUAUGCCUUGUAUUUUUGUGAUCAAUGUGGUGACUAGCACAAGCAUGCAAAGUAGCUCUCGUGAUAUUGCUGAUUUUAGAGACUUAGAAUUUUACUAAGUCUUUGUCUGCUGUUAUUUUUAUGCCAUGUAUUCAUGUUGCUACAGAGUGAUCCAUGCCUCUUUUGAGUAUCUUCAGUAAGGAUGAUUUGGGAAUAUGAUUGCCCUCUAUCCAUCAAUGUCCUUGUUUGCAUUUAUGGAGUCCCCUAGAAUGACUCAAUCUUGCUCUACUUUUGCUAUAAAAUGUUCCUGGCAGAUUGUUUAUGUGUUAAUCAAUUUUGCCAAGGUUGUUGUAUUUGAUCCAUGCAUGCUAUGAGAUCGUUCUUGCCAUGGUUAGCUUCUUGACCAUGUCUUCUUGCUGGUAGUAUGCUUAGUUUGUCAUGCAAUGCCUUGUGUUGACUGCAUCGAGCUCGCAAACAUGCCUUCAUAAUUCUGUUUAUGCCAUGUCCAGUUUUCUGCUAAGUCUGAAUCUGUUAACGAAACUUGCUAUGUUUACAUGGGUGACAUCAUGUUUUCUGUGCCCUUUUGGCUUAUGGUCAGUAAGGGACUUUUGUUAUACGCUUUGAGUAGAUUCAUGCCAUGCCUUUGUUUGCUAUGUCCUGUUCCUGUAGCAUGUUUUUAUCUUGCUCUAAACAUGUCUUCCUCAUGUUAAUUCCUGGCAUGUUAGUAUUUUCACUAAGUAUGUGAUGCUGAUAUCUUUUGCUCUUUUGCCAUGCUUUUUUCAACCCGCUCUUGUGUGAUUUAGCCAUAGCUCAGUGUUCAUCUUUUGUCAAGCAUCUUGAGUAGAUCACUGCCAUGUACCUUGUUGCUAUGUUGGAGUGCAGUAGCUUAGUUUCUUGUUGCAUUCUAGAUGGCAUCGUGCUGUUAAUCGCAGAAUUGUGCCAUUCUUGUUUUGCUUGCCAUUUGCAAACCAUGCAUCCGAUUCCGGUGAUCUUUAUAUCGAUUUCGGCCGAAAUCAACUCAGCUUUCCAGCGGCACUCUUGGUUUGCCAAGUUGAGGCCUUGUUCAAUCUUUUCCUUUUGGUACAUGCAUAUGCAUUGCAUAUCACAUCCCGCAUAUCAUGCCAUGUUGUCCAUCAUGUUGCUUGCGCAUUGCACCGUGGUUGAUGGUUGUUCCCUUUGAUUGUGUUCUUGCUUUGGGUAGAGCUGGGAGACAGUUACGUGAUCGAGGAACCCAUUGAGUAUGCUUACGAGGAUCAAGCUUACGUCAACUCGGAGAACUUUGCGGGCAAGAUGACCAUACCCUCAAAAUCACUUCUAUCUUUGCUUGCUAGUUGCUCGCUCUAUUGCUAUGCCACGAUACCUAACACUUGCUAUAUCAUGCCUCCCAUAUUGCCAUGUCAAGCCUCUAACCCACUUUUCCUAGCAAACCGUUGUUUGGCUAUGUUACCGCUUUGCUCAGCCCCUCUUAUAGCGUUGCUAGUUGUAGGUGAAGAUGGAGUUUGUUCCAUGUUGGAACAUGGAUAUUUGUUGGGAUAUCACAAUAUCUCUUAUUUUAAUUAAGGCAUCUAAAUACUUGGUAAAGGGUGGAAGGCUCGGCCUUAUGCCUGGUGUUUUGUUCCACUCUUGCCGCCCUAGUUUCCGUUAUACCGGUGUUAUGUUCCUUGAUUUUGCGUUCCUUACGCGGUUGGGUUAUAAUGGGAACCCCUUGACAGUUCGCCUUGAAUAAAACUCCUCCAGCAAGGCCCAACCUUGGUUUUACAUUUGCACUAACAACCUAUCACCUUCCCUUCGGUUCUGCAGACUCAAGGGUCAUCUUUAUUUUAACCCACCCACCCACCCACCCCCCCGGGGGGGAAGUGCUUCUCUAAGUGUUGGUCCGACUUGAGCGAUGUCCGGUGCCCCUGGGCAACCAGGGUCUAUGCCAACCCGACGUCUGGCUCAUCCGGUGUGCCCUGAGAACGAGAUAUGUGCAGCUCCUAUCGGGAUUUGUCGGCACAUCCGAGCGGCUUUGCUGGUCUUGUUUUACCUCGAAAUGUCUUGUAACCGGGAUUCUGAGUCUGAUCGGGUCUUCCUGGGACAAGGAAUAUCCUUCGUUGACCGUGAGAGCUUGUGAUGGGCUAAGUUGGGACACCCUUGCAGGGUUUUGAACUUUCGAAAGUCGUACCCGCGGUUAUGGGCAGAUGGGAAUUUGUUAAUGUCCGGUUGUAGAUAACUUGGCACUUAACUUUAUUAGAAUGCAUCAACCGCGUGUGUAACCAUGAUGGUCUCUUUCCGGCGGGGUCCGGGAAGUGAACACGGCUUUGGAGUUAUGUUUGAACGUAGGCAGCUUCAGGAUCACUUCUUGAUCACUUCUAGUUCACGGCCGUUCUUUGCUUCUCUUCGUGCUCUCAUUUGUGUAAGUUAGCCACCAAAUAUGCUAGUGCUUGCUGCAGCUCCACCUCACUACCUUUUCCUACCCAUAAGCUUAAAUAGUCUUGAUCGUGAGGGUGUGAGAUUUCUGAGUCCCCGUGGCUCACAGUUUACUUCCAAAACCAGUUGCAGGUGUCGUUGAUACCAGUGCAGAUGACGCAGCUGAGCUCAAGUGGGAGCUCGAUGAAGAACGUGUUCGUUGUGUUGUUUUCAUUUCCUUUCGAUCAGUAGUGGAGCCCAGUUGGGGCGAUCAGGGAUCUAGCAUUAGGGGUGGUCUUUCUUUAUUUUUGGUUCCGUAGUCGGACCUUGAUUGUAUUCUGGAUGAUGUAAUGCUAUAUUUAUGUAUUGUGUGAAGUGGCAAUUGUAAGCCAACUCUUUAUCCCAUUCUUAUUCAGUACAAGGGAUGUGUAAAGAUUACCCCUCUUGCGACAUGCCUACUAUGCGGUUAUGCCUCUAAGUCAUGCUCUGACACGUGGGAGAUAUAGCCGCAUCGUGGGUGUUACACUUAGGAAACACCAUACUGUUAAAGGGGGUCAAGGAAAUACUAAGGAAAAUUUUCCAUGUGAUGCUCAACUCAAAAUCCUACACCUACCAAUCCCUUCGAGUGAAGCCAUGGGAAAUCUCAUACAGUUCAGUCAUAUUCUUCAGUGAUAGAGACGAAGUUCUUCUGGUCUUUGAGGAAUUUGUUCUGACUGAGGAGUUAGGAAUUCGCCAAUGCGGAUUGCCUACAUAGUAAGGAACAUGAUAGCCCCGAGGAAUUUGAUACUCAAAAUUCUGACCGUUGUUGUGCUAUGCAAAAGUUGUCCCAAAAUAUCUACCCGCCUAACGGUCAUAUCAUUGAAGGGCAUUUAUGUCUUAUCAUGUCGGGCUGCUCCCUAGGCUAUAAAUAGCCGCCCCCUACAACCACUAGCUGGUUGGCUGCUCCGAGAGAAACUGACACUUGUCAUUUGAGAGCAUCCCAUCCUCCGACGACUUUGAGUGAAAAUCAUCAAGUGAGGAAAACCAAAACCCAAACCCAAACACCUACAAACCCCAAGUGAUUGAGUAUCACUGAAGAGAUUGAUCCUGGGUGGAUCCGAUGCUUGUUACCUUUGAAGACUGUGCUUCUUCCAGACGGUUAGGCGUCAAGGUCUAGAACAUCCAAGAGGAAUUGUGGAUCGCCGAGUGUCCAAGUUUGUGAAGGUUCGGAAGUCACCUGAAGACUUACCACGAGUGAUUGGGCGAGGUCUGUGUGACCUUAGCUCAAGGAGAAUACGGUGAGGACUGUGUGUCCUCGGGUUUAAAUACCUAGCCGCUCCAACCAGAUGUACAACUGAGACAACAGUUGGAACUGGUCUACCAAAUCAUUGUCUUCACCAAGCUCACUAGUUCUAUUUCCUCAACUCUUUCAUUUCCUCAUAACUGUGUUGAGUGCUUGUUCAUAUUUGUGUUUGAAGACUUUGACUGAAGACUUUCUCGAUUUCCUCAGUUCAAUUUCUUCAGUCGGUUUGUCUUCAUCCUGUUUUAUCCUGUGCUUACGCGUUCUGUACUCUGUGCCUGUCUUCAUUUCAUCAUGAUGACUAUGCUUGUGUUCUGUUAUGUUUACUUUUGAGUACUUAUUCCGCUGCUAGUAGUUCUUCGCUAAGGAAUUUCCUCACCUGCAAAUUCCUCAGUGAAGAAUUCAUAAAAAUCACCUAUUCACCCCCCUCUAGUCGAUAUAACGCACUUUCAAUCUCUACCACUGCAUUCUAUUCCAUCUGUAGUGAUAAUGUGCAUGGCUCACGAUCAUGUAUUGAGUGGAGUUGAAAAUGCUAAAGCGCAUUAAAAAGUAUAAUACAAUUUCUUGGUUUGACACCGGGGUCCUCAUGAUUUAUAUUUAUGCGGUGAAAGUGGAGUCAUGCCAUACUUACACAAGUCAAUGAGUAGGGAUAACAUUCAUUGAGCAUUGUAUAUUUUGAAAAAGAAUGAUUAUGUUCUUGUAUUCAUGGAUAUUAUUAUGUUGAUAUCAAUUAGUUCAUCGUUUCUCAAUAUUCAUACCGUAAAAAGAUGAUGUAAUACACAUGCUAGGUAGCAUUCAACAUCAAAAAUUCUGUUUUUAUCAUUUACCUACUCGAGGACGAGCAAGAAUUAAGCUUGGGGAUGCUGAUACAUUUCCAACAUAUCUAUAAUUUUUAAUCAUUUCAUGCUAUUAUAUUAUCGAUCUUAGAUACUUUAUAUGCAAUUUUAUAUCAUUUCUUGGAACUAACCUAUUAACUCAGUGCCCAGUUGUCAGUGGUAAAACCGGCAGACAUCAGGGUAGGGGGUCCCGAGCUGUGGAUCUCGGAUCAAUGGUAACAGGAAUGAAGGAGAUGAUUUUUACCCAGGUUCGGGCCAUCUCUAUGGACGUAAAACCCUAUGUCUUGCUCUUGUUUAUAUUGAUGAUGAUGUAUCGAGCACAAGCUUGAUCUACCUCGAGGUCGUAAGGAAAGACCUAACUCUAGGGAUAGGUGAAUGUAAUUAUGUUCAAGUCCCUUCUAUGGGCUAAAACCUUUGGCCUAUAUACACGUCAGAUAGGGCAUCUAGGGUUACAUGGUCGGUAUCUAGGGGAGCGCAUGGAUGCAGUAGGAGAUGUCUUGGAGUAUACGCCAAGUCGUAGGUAGAUGAGGUCUUGAUCACGUCCAUGUGUGUAGCUUCUGGAGUACAUCCAAUGGAGAAUGAGGCCUACAUGACUAGCCCAAAGACUAUGGGCCGACUUGGUUGGCACCCCCUAGUCCGGGAUGAUGACCCACAAGUAUAGGGGAUCUACCGUAGUCCUUUCGAUAAGUAAUAGUAUCGAACCCAACGAGGAGCAGAAGGAAAUGACAAGCGGUUUUCAGCAAGGUAUUUUGUGUAGGCACUGCAAUUAUCGGUAACAGAUAGUUUUAUAGCAGGGUAAUUUGUAACGGGUAACAAGUGACAAGUGUAAAAAGGUGCAGCAAGGUGGCCCCAUCCUUUUUAUUGCAAAGGAUAAGCCUGGACGAACUCUUAUAUAAAGCAAAGCGCUCCCGAGGACACAUGGGAAUUACCGUCAAGUUAGUUUUCAUCAUGCUCAUAUGAUUCGCGUUCGUUACUUUGAUAAUUUGAUAUGUGGGUGCAUGGGUGCUUGGCUGUUGUCCUUACUUGGAAAAGCCUCCCACUUAUGAUUAACCCCUCUUGCAAACAUCCGCAACUACGAAAGAAGAAUUGAGAUAAAUCUAACCAUAGCAUGAAACAUGUGGAUCCAAAUUAGCCCCUUACGAAGCAACGCAUAAACUAGGGUUUAAGUUUCUGUCACUCUAGCAACCCAUCAUCUACUUACAACUUCCCAAUGCUUCCACUAGGCCCAAAUCAUGGUGAAGUACUGAAGUGUCAUGUAGUCGACGUUCACAUAACACCACUAGAGGAAAGACAACAUACAUCUCAUCAAAAUAUCGAACGAAUACCAAAUUCACAUGAUUACUUAUAACAAGAAUUCUCCCAUGUCCUCAGGAACAAACGUAACUAUUCACUAAGCAUGUUCAUGUUCAAGAUCAGAGGGGUAAUAAAUAUCAUUAAGGAUCUAAACAUAUGAUUUUCCACCAUAACCAACUAGCAUCAACUACGAGGAGUAAUCAACACUACUAGCAACCCACAGGUACCAAUCUGAUGUUUUGGGACAAAGACUGAAUACAAGAGAUGAACUAGGGUUUGAGAGGAGAUGGUGCUGGUGAAGAUGUUGAUGAAGAUUGACCCUCCCUCAAUGAGAGGAUCGUUGGUGAUGAUGAUGGCUUCGAUUUCCCCUUCCUAGAGGGAAGUUUCCCCGGCAGAAUAGCUCCGCCGGAGCCCUAGAUUGCUUCUGCCCAGGUUCCGCCUCGAGAUAGUGGUGCUUCGUCCCAAAAGCUGCCUUCUAAUUUUUUUCUACGUCAAAACAUUUCAUAUAGCACAAGAUGGGCACCAACCGAUGGCCAGGGGGCCCACAAGCCCUAGGGGUAGGGCACGCCCCUAGGCUUGUGGCCACCUGGUGGGUCCCCUUUUGUUGUUUCUUCGCCCAAUAUUUUUUAUAUAUUCCAAAAUAAUUCUCCGUAAAGUUUCAGGACAUUUGGGGUUGUGCAGAAUAGAUAUCUCAGAUUUGCUCCUUUCCGUUCCAGAAUUCUAGCUGUCGGCAUUCUCUCUGUUCAUAUAAACCUUGUAAAAUAAGAGAGAAAAGGCAUAAGUAUUGUAGCAUAAUGUGAAAUAACAGCCCAUAAUGCAAUAAAUAUCAAUAUAAAAGCAUGAUGCACAAUGGACGUAUCAUGGGAGACCGUCAAUAGCCCCCGAACAGGUCUUCUAUGCCGAGGACGGCCUCCUUGAUGGGAACAACUUCGGAUCCGAAGUACUUGGUUCGAUAGACGAGUUACCUUCUUUGGUGAUUUAAGAUACCUUUCUUUCAAAUGUCACCAUGGAACACCCCUCGAAGGAGUAGCAUCCCCUGACCAUGACCUAGUCGAACCCACUCGGCAUCCGAAGACGUGAGGUUGCUUAGCCUUGAAGGCCUACCACGUAGGUGUGAACAAUGUGCCUAGCCUGACAACUUUACCGAAGUGCCGCCACCCACGACUGGACAGGCAGUUACUUCUCACCCGAAUCAUGGUCCGAGGCACUCUUCUCAUUGGAACGUCCCAUCCAUACGGAGAUCGUGCCCGUUUUCAAAGGGAUAUCAUUAAGAUUUUGUUUCUCCAUAUAUGUAUAACGACAUAAUUUAUGGGUAGUGACGAUUUCAAUGGCGCGGCAGGAGGGACUCUUGGCCUUUUAUCAGCCUAUAUAAUAGCAAAGAGAUAGCGACGGGAAAAGCACGCUCUCAUUCCUCACUGCUUGCUGCCUCUCGAGCUCCAGCGCCGAGAUCCAACCCCGACCCUAUCUCGCGUAGCGCAUCCUAACCUCCAUCCCCAGCAAUGGCAGAUGCCAACCUCAAGGGGCAUUGUAUGGUUCCUCCAUCACGGAGGGCACCAUCUUGGAGCUGCGAAGUGCGGUGCACAUCCCCACUAAGCUCAACACCUGAGUGCUGGAUCCAAACCCACGGGUACCCGCUCCCAAUCCUGGGGAGAGGGUGAUCUUCGUCCCCCACCUCGUCAAAGGCCUGGAGUUCCCGUUGCACCCCUUCGUGCGCGGGAUCAUGUUCUUAUGUGGGCUGGAUUUCUGCCAUCUAGCCCCAAAUUAUAUCCUCCACCUCACCUCCUUCAUUACGGUCUGGGAGGCCUUCCUCUCCAUCGAGCCACACUUUGGAUUGUGGUUGAAGAUCUUCGGCAUCAAGCCAAAAUCCAGCGGCUCCGAGCUCGCAGAGUGCGGAGGGGCGAUGACUAGCAAGAACCAGAAGGUGGGUCGGUUCAAGGGCACAUCAUGGAGACCAUAAAGGAGUGGCAACGCGAGUGGUUUUACAUCACCGAGCAACUCCCUACCGGCUAGGCUGAGGUCCCGGCAUUUUCAUCGGGACCUACGAAGAAGCUCAUGUCUUGGAAGAAGGGCAUGGACGGGGCGAACCCAGGGGAGGUGAAGGCGCUGUCCGAGAAGAUCAAGUUCUGGACCGACCAGAAGAACCUCCAACUAGUGGACGUGGUGAAACUGGGGUAAAAAGUAGAUGGGUUUUGCGAUUGUGUCUUGUUGUUUCAAUUCCGUGUAUAUAAGAGGUGGCUGGACUUGUCGUGCAAGGAAAGGUUUAGAUUCACGUCCAAAACCCUAGUUUGGGUCCAACUCGGAGUCCAAACUUUCCAAAACUGUUCAGUUUAAAAGCUGGCUGCACCUUGCGGGUCACUUUUGAGGGAGUAAAUGAUCUCGGAUGAAAGUGAGCCUGAAAGAAAUUUUAGCCGUUUCGACAAGAUGAACAACUUUCAUGUUGAACUUUUUCGAUUUGAAGCCAUCCUAAGGGGCGAAUCGCUCGCGCAAAACAGAUAAUCAAUGGGGCUGCCCAUCAGACGUCAGCUAUAUGCGUGUCUGAUUGGGCGCGCCACAUUUUACUCAUGGUAGGGCCGCACUCUGAUUGCUCUAACUUUGGCAUACGAUAUGGGAUUAAGACGACUUUUAUAUUAAAAUCAACCGUGUCUACGAGACGAAGACAAUAUGUGUAGAACACUUUCUCAUAUGAGGCCGUCUUGGAUGCGUAAUCAGCCGAACGGCACUCUGAAUAUCAAAUCUUAGUGCUUCAAGCUCAACUUAGGCCCUCGAGAUAAAAUCGGAUGGUGAUGACCCAAACUUCAAAGAUGAUCAUGUCGACAAUAUGGAACUUCUUCAUAUAGAGUACUUGUUCAUUUGAGGCCAUAUUAAUAAUGUUUUCUUCCAUGCCAAAAUUUGAUUGUCAACAGUGUUGUACAUGAAAAAGAGGCAGGGCCAGUAGGAUACUAGGAUAUGUAUUUAUAGGGGGACAAGGACAAAAAUAAGAGGUGGAGAAGGAUGAGAUAUGUAUUUAUAGGAGGACAAGAGGCAUAGGUGCGGACAUGAAGUUUCUGCUCGUGAGCUCAUAUGCCCCUAUGCUAGAAGACUGUCGUCGAGAAUUAAGUGAGUUUAGGAAAGCUUGUGUCGAGCUUUGUAAUAGGGAAUCUAACGUAGUAUUACAUGUGGUAGCUAGUUGGGGUCGUGAAAACCAGCUUUCGGCUUGGUUAGAUUCACCCCCAGAGUUUAUCGUUAAAUUUCUUGCAAACAAUGUAGUCGUGACUUGAGUUUAAUAAAAGUAACUGGAUGGUCAUUCCGUCAAAAAAUCAUAAAAAAGAGUAAACAAAUUCAAAAAUACUGGUAAACAUUUUUUUCGGGGAGGUGGGGGGGGGGGCAAACAUUGAAAAAUUCUGAAUAUACAUGCAAAUUUUCAUGAAGAAAUAACAUUCCAGAAAUGCUUUCCUAAGAAAAAGAAAAUUGAUGCUCCAAAAGGUCUGUUUCUUGGAGCAUCAGUUUUGGGUUUUUUUACGAAGCAUUUAAAAUGUUUUUUUUUCAUAAAAACUUGCAAGCAUAUUAAGAAUUCUUUAAUGUUUAUUAAAAAACCAGAUUUUCUGUAAAAAAUAAUAAUUAUUUUUAUUUUCAAUUCACUAGGGUGCAUAUGAGCUCCCGAGUAGAAUAGUACUUCAACAUAGGUGCUUGUUAUGCAUGAAAGAAACCACGCGCUGGCGUGCAAGACCUCUUAAUUGGCGCCUUCUGUGCCCAAAUAAGUAGGCAGCGCUCACGCGCGCCAUAGCGAGCCGCUGCCCAGCAGGGAUUUCGUUCCCUAACUCGCUCAUCGCCUUACUUUUUUUUAAACACCACCUCAUAUAUUAAUUAACCAAAGAACGUGUUUCAAUCAUUCAUUACAGAGUUCAUCACAUAGAACGGUACAUCAUUAACAAGAAUCCCGUCCACUCUAUUAUCAAAACUAAACUUAGCUAUUAGAUGGGCCACCUCAUUAGUCGAAUGCCUAAUUUUUGACACUCUGAAGCUAUCCAUUAGCUUAGAAAUACUCCAUGCUUCCUUCUUCAGAUCAUGCAGAGCUGAUCUAUCAUCAAAUUCGUUUGGAAACAUCGCCGCAAUAAAAGCGCAGUCAGUCUCUAAAAUUAUAGGAGAAUGAAGUGUCAUAUCUAUAUAGAGACCACCAAUGCAAACUCGGAGGUCCGCUUCCUCCAUGCUACUACACCUCCCAAUGUAGUCCCAUGAAGAUAUCAUCGCCCUAUUUGUGUUUUUGUUAUUGGGAUUUGCUUUGAUAUGUUGAUAUGAUUGACCAGUUGACCAUUGACUCGACCAAUUGAGUGUUGACUCGGCUGUUGACCCUUGGAAAAGUUCAUGAAUUUAAAAGGUUUGCAGAUUUAAAAAUAAAGUUCACGAACAUGCAAAAAGUUUGCAAAUUCAAAAAAAGUUUGCGAAACUAAAAAAAGGGCAUGCAUUCGAAAAAGUUCACUAAUACAAGAAGAGUUUGUGAAUUCAAAAAAAAAAGUAUGUUCGCGAAGUCAACAAAAUUUCACAACUCCAAAAAAUUUCAUGAAAAGUUCAAAAAAAUGAAAAGAGUUCUUAAGGUAGAAAAAAAGGAAAUGGAAUUUGGGGAAAAAGUUCAUUAAGUUGAGAAAAGUUCAUGAAGUUGAGAAAAAUUCACGAAUUUGAAACAAGUUCAAAACUUGGAAAAGAUCACAACUAGAAAAAAAAGUGCACAAAAAUGGAAAACAAAUCAUGAACUUGGAAAAAUUCCGUGGAUUCAUAAAAUGUUCGCACUUGUUUUCUAAAAAUUCACAAAUUGAAGUUCACAAUAAUUGAAAAAAAUCACAAAAUUGGAAAAGGGUUCACGAAAUCAAAAAAAACAUCAAUUCAUGAAAAGUUCACAAAUUUUCAAGAGAAAUUCAUAAAUUUGAAAAAUACCAUGAAAUUUGAAAAAAGAAAGUUCACACAUUUGAAAGAAUGUAAAAAAUAAAAAUAAAACAAAAUGGAAUAAAAAUCGAAAAGGAAUAACGUGUAAACCAAGGAAAAACCCGCUAUGGAAGAAACAAGAAAAACUUCCGAGAAACUAAAAUACCUACAAAACCAGUGAAAAACACCUAUAAAUGACGCUUAAGGCGCCAAAUAUGAAUUGGGGGUGGCGUGCUGCCUUCGAACUGUAGGUAAAACACCGAAAUCACUAAUUGAGUAGUACUUUUUUCAAGAUCACUUUCACUUUCUCAAGUGCCAGAGUUUUCCUUCUUUUUAAUCCGUUUAUUCAAAACGUUUUCUUUCUUAAACCACGGGUCCGAAAUUAAACCGUUUUCACUGUUGGAUUCCUCGCAUCGAGAUCUUCGAAACUAGAUCUCAUGUUGACAGGUUUUGACGAAGGACCAAAACUGCCUCUUAUAGAAGGAAAGAAUAGAAAAAGCGUUUUUUCUGUUUCCAAGAGGCACGGUCAUGCCUCUCAUAGAAGCAAAACCGUGUCUCUCAUAGAAGAAAAAAAUAUAUUUUUUUUCGUUUUCAGUAGGCAUGGCCGUGCCUCUCGUGGAAUAAAAAAUGUGCCUCACACGAAAGGGAAAAAGAUAAAACUUGUUUUUUUUUGUUUCCGAGAGGUACGACCAUGCCUCUCACGAAAGCAAAACUGUACCUGUCAUGGAAGGAAAAUAACCGUGUUUUUCCCGUGACCGAGAGGCACUCACGGAAGCAAAAUUGUGCAUCUUGUGAAAGGAAAAAAAUAAAACACGUAUUUUUUCAUUUCCGAGAGGCACGGCCGUGCCUCUCGUGAAAGCAAAUCCAUGCUCUUUGCGGAAGUAAAACCGUGUCUCUCAUGGAAGAAAAAAUGCGUUUUUUCAUGAAAAAUAAAAAAAAAUCUCCAAAAGCUAAGAAAGGCCGGUGAAAAAACAAAAAACCGAAAAACCCCAGAGAAACAUCUAAAAUGCUGAAAACGUGUGUGAAAAAUGAAAAAAAAAUAGAUCCAAAACACAACAUGUGACGGCGACAGAGAGCGCGCCACUUGGCGUGCUUUUAGUCCACCCCUAAGUGAUCGUUAGGAGGCUUCCGGAGAAGCGCUUGUUGAUCAGUUGCUGUCGUAAAAGACUCGUACAAGAAGGUAAAGGUGCUGUCUAGACUCUAGGUCCAUGUGAUGGCCCAAAAUACUCGAAAAAAAACGCAUACAGUGGUCGGUUUAAUGGGCUUGGACUACUGUGCUGCGCUGAUUCAGCGCACCGAGCGCGGAACAAGAAUUGGGUUGUACUGGACCUGUAUACUGUGCAGCCUACUGGAAUAGUAAACUCCGGCUUUAAUAAACAGCUCAUCAGGAAGUAAUUUGGCUAAAUAAAAUACCAAACAAUCUCCUAAAAUACUAGGAACACACACUAAAAUAUUACUACAAAUAUAGAGUAUAGUGAACAUUGUUUCCAGCUCAAAUAUGAAAUAAAAUAGACAUAAAUUUUGAUAAAUUUUAUUUCGGGCCUUAUAACUAUUCCCUAUUUUUUCUUCAAAAUUACAUUGAAUAACAAAAUUAUAUUUAAAAUACUUCCCAAUUCUCUUUCUAUUGGAGGGGUCAUAUUGCCUUCUCUCAUUUGAUUUACGUUUUGAGUUGGAUUUAUUUUAAAUACUAAACUCUAAAUAAAACCCAAUUACAUAUCAAAAAUGGAUAUUUGGGAAGAUAUUUUCAUGCCUCUCAAUUUAAAUAUUUACUUAAUUAUAAAAGUUUCAAAUCGUUGUCAAGACUAUAUAACACCAAGCAAUACAAGCAAAAUUUAAUUUAAUCUUGUUUAAAUAAUUAACAUUCGCAAUAAGGACGAUAAGAAAACCGCGCGGCCACCCUGGGAUUCAUCAAACGGUCUCUGCACGAUUUCAUUCCUAGCACGCUCCUCAUGGAGUAGAAACUGUAGAUUACAAGACUCCAUACACAAGACCUCUCUGUCAUCCUCGCCACCCUGCAAGGAGAGAAGCGAGCAUCCUAAAAGAAUAGGUGCAAAGAUGAUAGGAAACAAGCAUUCAUUCGCUCAAAUCAAAGCUUACAAACGCACGACAAUGUCAAAAUUAAUAGCUAGGUGGCCUAGAGGCUGGGAGCGUCGAGAGGGGGUGUGAGCGGCGUUGAUGUUGUGACGACUAUUGGACCGGAGACCGGGAGCUGCAAGGCUGCAAGCCCCACGGCUGUCGUCAUGGUCUCACUAGUGCUUGCCGCUAUCCGGGUUGCUGGCCCUGAUGAUGUGCUUGUCUGUGCCAUCAUCAUGAGUUGCUUGAGGGCGAUGGCCUGUGGGGCUUCCUCCUCAUCCGACGCUAUUGCGAAGGCGGGAUGGUUGUCUUUGAUCUCCUCCGUUGAUGUGGUGUUGAGGUUGGCCGUGUGUUCCCGGUCUUCAUUACUGGUGGCGGGAGGGGCUCCUCGACCUUCGUGUCCGAGAUGGAGAUUAUGGCCAUGUUUGGAUCCAUAGGUUAGAGUUAGUUUGGGUUAGUUUGGACUCAACUAACCCAAAAAUAUUCAAACAGGAGGGUUAGUUUGGGUUAGAUGCAUCUAACCCAUCCAAAAAAACCAACCCACCCAAGAGGUGAUUAUUUGGGUUAGUUCUUCUCGAGACCACUAAAAAACACUUUUUUCACUCGCUCUCCCUCCAGCAGAUCCCUUCCCACUUCCUCAGCUUCUCGUCCUCUCCCUCCCUCCCUCUCACACCGCCCGUGAAGGCGCCUCACCGUAUCCGCGCUCCAUCUAACCCUCCCAUCCAAACACCUCUUUGGUUAGAGUUAGUUCAAGGUUAGUUUAGAGUUAGAAUCUAACUCUAACCUCUGGCUGAGUUAGAGUAUCCAAACAAGGCCUAUGUCGGCUUCGCUGCUCACCUCAUUGGAGAGCGAGAUAAGGUCGGCAGUGUCGACGAUGCAGUCAAAGACAAAAUCGUUGAUGAUGCGGUCUUGUAGGUUGUAGUUGACGUAGUAGUUGUCCCAGACCAUGCCGACGAAGUAUGUGGCUAGGCAGGCUGGUGGACCCCUACGAGGUCACCACAGCGCCUCGCCCACGACGCUAAGGCCUUGGCCUCAGGUGCCAGGGUUAUUGGUUCUGGAUCGUCACCCUCCGAGUCAGAGGCCGAGGUGAGGGUGUCGUGUAGUCCCACAGAUCUGACCAAUUUUCAAUUUCUCAACUGAUCUGGUUAUGCAGGCAUGUGUGGAUCACCUGCUGGUACGUGGCUCCAGCGUUUUGGUGCCCAAACAAGCCCUAUGAGCCAGAGGUUGGUGGCGAAGUUGCCACUAGGGUCGAUGAAGUCACCGAUGUGAUCUGGUGGAUCGGCGGGCCGCACAUAUGGAGGCCGUCGUGGCUGUUGACGACGAAGGCCAUAGCACCGACAUAGAUCGUGUGGACAUGGUGGGCCGAUGGGUUAACGUCGACCCGGCCCGUACCAUUUGCAGUGAAGGCGAAAGAGACGAAAUUAAGCUCUCUCUCUCUCUCUCUCUCUCUCUCCCGAUGGUAGGCAGUUGGGAGCCGAAAGAGAUCUGAUCUGGGAUCGGUCUCCAGCUGACACGGCCGUGCCUGAUGCACCAACUGGCAGUGCAUAAUCCGGUCAGUACCCUUGGUAGGGUUGCUAACAUGCCCAAAAGUACUAGAUCAGAGGUCGCACAUGGGUUUUAUCUCGGUUCAGGCCUUUAGUGAGGAGUAACACCCUACAUCCCGCUUGUUGUUAUUAUUCAUGGUGGGUAUGCCUCAUGUGAGGGAUUACAAGUGCUACCAAGAGUCUAGUCUACGAGAGUAGAUGAGAAUGAGAGCCCCGUAGCCUCCACCUUAUAUGCACAGUGAGGGCUAGGGUUUUACAGGAGGGAGAUUCGAUCUAGCUCGCUACAAGGAUGGCUUGCGUACUAAGAUGAUCUGUUGGUGUAUAUAUGUUGCUCCAGGCUCCUCGUGGCUGUUAGAAGAAACAUGGUGGACCUUGUCGGCCCCUUGGUAGGCAUGUUGCCGGGCUCCCUGUGAAGAACAAAUCCCCGGUGUGUUACACCGUCACUAUUGUUGUACUAGAGAUAUUUACAUGUUAUUCAUGGAUGAACUAUGCUAUUUUUUAUAAUUACUUUGAAUGUUGCUGGAUGAUUUAGUUAAACAGACGAAAUAUCAUCUGUUUUAUGUCAAUUAUGUCCAAACUUUGCUAAAUUCCGUCGUGUUUGACGACAUUCAUCCAUUGUUAAAAUCUCAUUUGAAAUAUAUGCGUACAUGGUUGAAUGGCGGGCUCCCACAUCACUUCCGCGGACUGGUCUCACCGAUUUACGGACUGAUAUGGUGUCUGAUGUGGAUUCAAUGUCAGAGAUACCUUUAUCAACCAUCGUAGGACUCUAAACAUUCGCUACAAAGAACGCAAAAGUAAAAGUACAACAAUGCUAGGAGUUGUUGGGUCUUCUUUGGUUAUUCGUUGGCAGUUGUUUUCUUUCUUUUCUUUUGUUGUUGUUAUGGUGUUUCGGUCUAAUUGUUUUUAUAAAUUAGGUCACCCUAUAUAUUUUGGGAACGUUGGCAGAAGAGUUGUCAAAUUCAUUGAUCCGAAGAAGGUAUUAUAAGGACAUCCUCAAAGGCGGAAUGCAUCGCAUAAAGGUGAGUGCCAAAAAGAAGAAAGGAAAACAAGGAUGCUCAGUUUAUUAUGGAAAACCAGGCAAAAACCAUAGCAUUGCCUAGCUGGACUAGAUCUAAAGCACCACAAUACAUACAAAAACGUUGGAAGGCGAAACCCCACAACACACCCGGUUGCACACUUGAGCGCCUUUGCUGCUACCAGAGUGCAUACCAACAACUGUCACAUUGUACUGGACUGCCACGAGCAUAUCCACAAGCCUCAAUGACACCGAAGAGGAACGAUAAGUACGAAAAAGGGAAAACCUAUGCCGCUCCGAUUCCACGAGACUAGUUGACAUAGCUCACCCGACGCUACUUGUAUGUGAAGGGUUCUCCUGUUGCUCUCACAGCCAACCAAACAACCGGCUCCAAAUAGAAGCACCACUAAUGACUCCACGCUCAUCCUAACAAUUACUGCUCCAGAUCCACUGCACCACCACCAACUAAAUGCUCCAUCACCAGACUUGGCUCCAAAGAAAAACAUGGAUCAAGGAGGUGUCGGACCCCCUCGAUGGCGCCUCCAACAAGAAAAAUCACACCCGAGAGCAUCAUUCGCCAUCAGCCCAGACCGAAGUCGAGCAUGACUUUCAUUGGGGGAAGCGAGCACCUAUGCCAAGGACGACAUCUCCAACACACCACCACCAGACUGGAGGUGUGACGCCCCCGAUUCAAUCAUACACUAAUCACACACAAAAAUGUGUACGAUCAAGAUCGGGGACUCACGAGAAGAUAUCACAACACAACUCUAAACCCAAAUAAAUUCAUGCAGGCUUUAUAUUACAAGCCGGGGGCCUCGAGGGCUCAAAUACAUCAGCUCGAAUACAAAUGAGUCAGUGGAAGCAACAAUAUCUGAGUACAGACAUAAGUUAAACAAGUUUGCUUUAAGAAGGCUAGCACAAAAGUAUCUACGAUCGAAAAGGCAAGGCCUCCUACCUGGGAGCCUCCUAACUACUCCUGGUCACCAGCGGUCUCCACAUAGUAGUAGGCUCCGUCGGGGUAGUAGUAGUCAUCGGUGGUGGCAUCUGACUCAUGGACUUCGCCAUCUGAUCGCAACAAUCGGGUAUAGGGGAAAAGAGGUAGCAAAGCAACCGCGAAUACUCAUCCAAAGUACUCACAAGACUUACAUCAGAUCUAAGCUAAGUAUGCAUCAAUAUCAAAGGAAAGGGUUGUAUCUGUGGACUGGACUGCAGUUUACCAGAAGAGAAGGGAAAGCCUAGCCUAUCAAAGACUAGCAUCUUGCGGCAUUAGAAGAGUGUAGAUUAGCAUAAUAUAAAGUAAUAGUAUGUUGUAGUAACCACGCCUAGAGAUUCUUCCUCGACUCCCGGCAGAAGGCAAUCUCGGAGCCACAUAUCCAUUUCAUGCCUCAGCAUCCAAUUCUAGUUUUAAAGAUCAGGAUACAACUCUAAGUCGUCCUGUUACCAUGGACACAGCUAUUCGAAUAGAUUAACUUCCCUGCAUGGAUGCACCACAUUACCCAACACGCUCGAUCACUCUGGCCGGACACACUUUCCUGUGUCAUGCCCGGCCUCGGAAGAUCAACACGUCGUAGCCCUAUCUAGGCUCAACAGAGAGGCCAGCACAUCAGUCUACAUCCUAAGCAUGCAGGGAUCUUGGGCCCAUCGCCCUUUGCACUGUUGCACAUUGAGUGGGUGGCCUAUGUCGUCCUGGCAACCUCCCUAUAUAAGGCAGGUGCUUACGCAGGCCACCCGGGCGCGCGCCGCUCAGUCGGUGACUUUUGAAGAGCUUCGGCUGAUACAUACGACGCCGAGUGCCCAUAUAUGUUCCCUUGUGGUGGUUAGUGCGUAUAGGUCAGUGGCCAACUCAGAUCAAAUACCCAAAUUGUUGGUGUCUUGGGAGCGCGCGGUAAAGAGCAGAGACUCACGAUCAUGUGACCCCGUCGCCCCGUCUCGUGGACUUACGGCAAGGGACCGGAAUGCCUGGCCGUUCCACGUAGAGAUCUCGCGGGUACCCUCCAGGUCAACCCAACUGCACAUCAACUCGUGGUACCCUCAUGGUCAACCCGACUCGCAAGAGACUGUCACGAACUCAGGUCCACCUCUACCGGGGUGGUACCGCCUGUCCCUCCAGUUCUAUAGUAACAGUAAAACUCACGGGUGCCCCUCGGGGCCGACCCGUCUUUAACAUGGUCCUGUGGUAAAGUCAAAGUAACCGUGUGUCCAUAACAUCAAGGGGGAAACCCGAGGAAUCACCCUUGAUGGAUUCCCACUCAAUAUAACCAUCAAGGUGAACUUAGAGGAAUCACCCUCGAGGUUUCACUCUUGAUGUGUUGCGCGAAAGGGUCGUUAUCGGGAGUGGUGAAGAAGGAAUCACCCUCCGUAGACCACGACCGAUUAACUACACUACAAAGAUCUCAUCAAAAGUGCUAUACGAGGUAUCACCCUCGAUACUCGAUAGUAACCCUAUAGUGUCACACAACUAAGGGGGUGUGAUGUGAUGUGUCGGGCUCUGGACAUCGAUCAUGUUGAUCAAGUCAUUGAACAUAAAGCAGGGGCAACUGGGACAAGGUGAGGGGUCACUGGUGGAUCACUGACCAACCUAUACUAAGCAGUUCAGGAUAAGCAGGUAAGGUAACAAUUGCAGGUUACAAAAUCAGGCUAUGCAUCAGAAUAGGAUCAUACAAAAGCAGUAGUGGUUCUAAUGCAAGCAUAAGAGAGAAUGGAAAUGAGCGAUAUCGAAAUGAUCAGGGGGGUUUGCUUGCCUGGAAGCUCUGCAGACAGAUACAAACCCUCGGCGGUGAAGUAGUCUAUCACCGGAUCAACAGCGGUCUCGGGGUCUACCAGAGAAUAAGUAACGGAGGCGGAACACAAUAAAUAACAGAGCAAUCAAUAGCAUCACAAAGCAAUACAUGGCAAUAUGUUGUGCUAGGGGUGACGUAUCGCAGUGCUACAUGUUACAGACGGAGCGAGAAAACAUCUGGGAAUGUUUUCCUGGCUUUAGGCAGUUUUCAAACAGAUGAAACAUAGGGGAAGGGUCCAUGUUUGCAGUGUUAGAGGCAUGUGGCAGGUAUGUGGAUGACAUAUUUGGAUUCGUCUUAUUUCUCUAGUAAUUUUCAUAUAUACAAUAUUUUCAUCCGAAUUACGGUUUAUAUUCUAUUAAUUUUUGUAAGUUUUAAUGUUUUUAAAUUACUAUAAUAGUCUCUCCCUAUAUAUAUAUAAUAUAUCUCCCAUAGUUGCCAUGUUUUCGAUAUGGUGGCUGAAAAAAAAGGGUACAACGAGGUUCGGUGGCUGAAAACAAUAGGGUACAAAGAGGGUAUACAUCUCUCGAAUGGUUUUUUUAUAGCGGGGACGUGAGCCAAUCCGUUUGGGUACGAUGAACCCGGUACGGUACCAUGGGUCGAGGAACGCAGUUCCUGAAGAACGAAGACUCCCUGACGGUCAGAAUUCCUUGCUGUUAAUGGAUCCCUUGCAACUAAUGGACUUGAGGAAGAACGAGGAGUCCUUGAGAAAAGAAACGACGGCGUGAGUAAAUUAUGCCUCGCGUCUGUUGGAUUCUCGAACCUGAAUCGAGGAGCAGGCUGCGGGGAUGCCGAAUCUUCAUCGAAUCGUACUGAAUCCGACCUCGCUCCCGAAUCCGAUUCCGGGUCAACGAAUCGGGAUCGAGGGACGGCCUACCGUUCCCCGUUUCCGGCUACUAUGAUCUCUCCCUGAUAAUAAAGCACGGAUUGAUUCCGUGGGUUCACCGUCACAUAUUUUGGCAAAAGAGUCCUUCUAUAUUUUCUGGUAAUCUAUAUAUCUACUAACCCACGGGCAAAAUUUCCCCUCCCUACGGACCUGAGUUGGAGUCAAACUACACCUCCCAGUUGCCUUCCCAACCCCUUCAAUAAAUAUCAAUUUGAGAGGCGGAUGAGAAGCAGACAAGAAGGCUUGCCACGGACCUCCACUCGUGCUGCCAGGAGCUUCCGUGGGUCAAGUUGCUACCGUCCCAAGAUCCCCUAUUGUGCCGCUGCUCCGUUCCACACCGCCGGAUCGACGCCGCCGAUGCCGUGUGGUGCUGCGAUCACCCCGUUCAAUAUGAAGAAUCGAUGAUGCUGAUAAGUCGUAUGAUCGAUUUCCCCUUGAUUUCCUCAACCAGAAAAAGAUCGAGAUAACUCCGCUCCAGUCAUCCGACCACGUCGACUUGCCGCAGUGCACGCCGACUGGGAGAUGGGAGAACGCUCUCCAGCAUUGGGUGUUCCGCGGCACAUCCCAGCGGCUGGGGAAUGGGAGCGCACUCUCCUCCAGGGCAUCCCAAACAGUGUCUUGGUUAGCGAGGGCCGCUGCUUCUUAUCCGUGUUGCCGAUCUGACUGCUCCACAAGCCCCUACUUCAGCGAAGAUGCAGAGGCAGACGAGGUCGACGCGGGAGAAAAAGUCGUCAGGGGAGGCGGCGCUGCAGGGAGAGGAAGUCGAAGGACAUGGCUGGGCUGUGAGAGGUCACGCCAAGGGAGAUCAGGGGAAGAUGAGCUAACAGGCAGGUCAGAGAACCGGAGGAGCGCUCGUGUUUGACCCUGAUGCGGGAUUGCACAGGCAACAGAGCUGAGGGUGUAGGGAACGAGGUGUCCGUGGCAAUGGGGCUGAAUGAAAGAUGAAAUUAUUGACCGCUCGUUCUCUACAAUUUGGAUGAGAGACUACACUAUGAUGCUACUACCUGCGGCUUGAUUAUUAUAUUUUCUGAAGUUGCGGUGUUGCGGUCGCUUGCUAUCAUACAAGGUGGGGGAAAGAAAGAGAGGGGAGAUUUUUCAAGAUAAAAAUAUCUUUGUUUUGGGUUGUGUUGUCGGUGCUUGUUUGGUGGUGCUACUAAUGCUACAGAAGAGAUACUGACUGCUGGCAUUAAUUAUAAGAGUUUCAUGGCUGCUGUUUAUUGCUACUAGAUUGAGUGUUUUGUAAGCAUUGUGCGUGAGGUUUGCAUGAUCAAUAACAUGUUCAACUGAUUUCUGGUAUUUAUGAACUAUAUUUUUGGGAUGCUUUCUUUUUCAUUUUAUUUUGUUACGCUAGAUUUUCCGUGAAAAAGAAAUAUUAUGAGAGGUGCAACGAUUGCUAGAGUAUGCCAAUUUAGCCAGCUCUCACGUUAAUGAUUUUAUACUUUUUAUGUGGAAGUUAGGAUUGGAUAAAAGGAAUACUUAAAGGCACACACAUUUUUUCCCUUAGAGGUAAACAACUGGAUAUAUGCUUCUAAAAUGACUUAGAUGGCAUAACUAUCAAAGAGGCCGAGAUAAAAACAAUAGUACCUAAGAUGCAUCUUUGCAUAGGUUAAGUCUAGAUGUUUAUAUCGUUACAUCUUGGACGGUACAAUGAGUUGCUCUAGAAAAUUAAGAUGCAAAAGUAUGACGAUUAUCUUGAUAGCCUAAAAAAUAUUGAGUAUAUUGAGUUUAAAUGGAGCCGGCCAAUCCUAAUUCAUGGCAACUGGUCUUUGUUCGCACAGGUUAACGGUAAAAAAGAAAGUCGACAAUGCUAUCUAAUGAGCACGAGGAUCCUAAGGGCACAUAUUUAAUCUGCAUGCAUUAGAAUAUAUAUGCUCUGCGAACCAACCUGUGGUUGGAUGGUUAGGAGGAAAACAAUACUCCAGCUCACAAGGGUACAAGUUCUAGACUUGGCACUUGUAUUCGCAUUUUCUUAGGUUUAUUUCAUGCCUUUCGGCAAUGUGUAUUUAGUGGCAGGAGAAGUUCUCGUUGUCUAUGAAGGUUUAUGUGACGAUUUCGUCAAUCUUUAGAUGAUGUGCCGACUCAGUCUCUCAAAGACGCUCAUAAGGAGCAUCUUGCGAAUUAUCUUGAUGCCGCUUUAAUCUCCUUAAUAAUGCUUGCAUACUACCCACCCGUGCCUUCCUUGGUGUCAUUGACCACAACCUUGCACUCUGAUGCUAUGAUCACAUGUGGUAGACAAAGAUCAAGAGCAAGAGAAAGGGCGUCAUGGAACGUCAACGCUUCCAAGGUUGCCGGAUCUAAGACCCCCAAGAAUUUCAAUGCCGAGAAUCCUAAAUACGUGUCUACAUCAUCAUUGCAAGAAUAUAGUAUUAGCCUUCACACCCGUAUGGGAUGGGUUGGAGACCAUGCCACGCUUCAGCCACUCCCUCUGGCUCAAGGAGCGGGCGGGGCAGGGCAGCAUUGAAGCAAGCUAAUAAACCUUCAUAUUUUGUUCACCUGUUAAAUAGCCCUAUCUUACUUUCUUAACUACAUAAAUUUAUAUAUGACAUUGGUUGACGUAUUAACAAGUCCUCUUGUGAAUUGAUAAGCAGAGACUGGUGCACGGAUCUAAAUUAUUUGGGAAACGAAGAAACUGUACUCUCGAAUGGGAGAAAGGCCCGAAUAAAUUGGAGACAUAAGGGGAGAUGGUGAACAUAAAAAUAGUAUGCAUGUUUUCUCCCGUUGCAACGCACAGGCAUUUGUGCUAGUAUCUCUCCCUAAUAAUAAAGCACGGGUUGACUCCGUGGGUUCACCAUCACAAUGCGCUUUUUUCCGUGAUUUUAUGCUUUCAUUUUGAAUUUUAUAACAUAUUCGAGGUGGUACUAAAUUUUGUCUCUGCAACUCGAUUGACCGGUAUGUUCUCGUUUAGCUGGGCUGCGAUCCAGUUGGGCCUUGGCCCGUCUCUCCAUUCUAACCGCUACGUCUCUAUGUUUCGUUAAAAAAAGUACGUUUUAUCCAACCGCUCAGCAGACAAGUGAAGGGCGGAGCUGUGGCAGAAGAGGCGGCGCGACGGAGCAGAAGGGGCGGCGCGACGGAGCAGGAGAAGAUGGCCGAGAAGAUGUUCAGGUGCGGCGCGGCAGGCGGAGAAGAGUUUUGGUGAUGAGCUUGUGGCCGCGCUGGACCAGCUGCUGCAGCCCCCCUGCGCCAUCGCCGUGGGUCGCCUGCUUUCUGCUGCUCCGGUGCCGGCACCUGUCCCUGUGCGGUGUCGUGCUCAGGAAUUUCGCGAAGAAGGCGGUUGCCGUUCUUGCGCGCGAGAAGGGCGCCGGACCUCGUUGGCGCUGCGAAGGGGGCACAACUCAGUUUGGGUACGCCGUCGGCCAGCGCCGGCGGCGAGCAUGCUCCACUUUGACCUGUCCGCCACAGCCAGUCCUCUCCCGCCUCCCCCGACGUAACCUUCUCAACCUCUGCAUCUGCUCCCGUGUAUGAUUUGGAUGGAAUUGCAGUCUCCUUGUCCAACACAAAUCGAUUUGGAUGGAUUGCAGUCCGUGUCCUUGUCCAACGCAAAUCAAUGGAGCUGCCGACUCGGAUUGUUGUUGGCUUCUAUAAGAAGGGAGGGUCCUCGGCUCGAAUCUCCAUCAGGUCAAUUUUGGACGAAGCAUCCAAUGUCGACACCGAGUUCGCUGCAGGAAGAAGCGCCGAGUUCGCCGGAGGUAGAAGAAGCGUCGAGUUCGCCAAAGGUAGAAGAACAGUCGUCGAGCUAUCCAAUGUCGCCUGCGUCGGCUACAGCAGAGGUAUGUAUCCCCUUGACCCCUGUUUUGAGUUAUUUUUCUGUCCCUUGUUUCUCUGUGUACCUUCUAAUAUGGAGUUCAGAGGUAAAGAUAUUGUUGCGAAGUACGUCAGUUUAGAUAUUGUUGCCUUAUUGUGAUUGUAGACACCCAUGUUGUGUGGUUGGUCUGUUGAACGAAGCGCUGGAACUGUCAGCAAUUCCUUCAGAUAGUGUUGUUCUCUGAACAGAGAAAACAAAAUUGGAACAGCUGUUGCGGUGGUUCUCAUCUGGCCUUAGUUCCAGGUAGCAAUAACAAGCUUUGCUUCCUAAUUACCUCUGCUCCUAGCUAGCUAAAAUUGCAACUGAUACAUGUAUAGGUAUACUAGCAUAUGUUGUGUCAGGUUAAAAGUCCCGAGAGAUUUUGAACUACCGGUGGAGUGGAGAUGAUGAUUUGUAGUUCCACAUUCUGUGCUAAUACUUCGAUGGAUUGUCUGGUGAUAAGCCAAGUGUGUCUCAAAAUCUUUUUCCCUCUGUACAAUUCUCUGUCUGCGCUCCUCCUUACGGAUCUGAGGUGAAAACAAAGCUGCAGGUAGAGAAAGCAAAGCAUAAUGAUAGGUAGCUUCAUGGUGUUUGUCUUAUAUUCAAACUGCAUUUAGCUUCUAAGAAUAUGAUAUAAUACAUCAGAAAAUAGUACAACAUGCAGGCAUCUCAAAAUUCCACUCCAGAUGAAACACUUAUUCCACUGAAAAAACACUCGCUCCAAAUAACUUUACCAUGGAAUUGUUUGAUCUAUCCUUUGAUGCGUCGGUUCUGAUUCUGUUGCAAUUGAAUUUAUGUUGAGAUCGCGGAAGAAUAUUGUUCUACUUACGGAAGAAUAUUGUUCUACUUACGGUGAUUAGAAGUUGGGUCCCAGGAUAUGAGCACGAAAGGAAAGAAACCAAAAGAAGAAAUAAAUUUUGAUUGCGCUAUUAUGAGCAGGAAGUUUGAAACAUAAAUUCCGUUCGAGCGCACAAGGCAAGGAAUUAAAGGGAAAAAAGUCAAGGGUAAAUGUCAACAUAUGUGUAGAUAGAUUCAAUUCUACAUGCAGGACCAUGUGAGGCUAUCCCCUGCACAAGGAGCGGCACUUUGCAUUUCAUAGGAUUCAGAUUUCAAUAGACUAUAUAGGAGCAGAUGGGGGCUUGGCGGAAAAUGGGUGCAUAUCAUGAUAAACAUUAAAUUAAAUAAACAAUAUUGUUGAACCUAUGCUCGAGUAAUAUCAGAUGUGCCUUGCUAAUUCGGCGGAAGUAAAGAAUUUGUGCGUUGGUCACUUGAGCAACAAUACGCAUGAGACAUAGGCCAUUUUUUAGGCCACUUGCAAAUCUGGCAUUAACUAAUUCCAGUGUAGAUUAUCAAUGAUUGCUCAGAACAGAAGAUAUGUUUUUUCAUAAAUUUAAGCGUAUGUGUGUGUGUGUUCAUUUUCGAAAUUAAGGCUUACCAAUAUGACAUAUAGAUGUAAGAAAAUGAUUGAUUACUUUUUCUCCUUCUGUAUAGAUGAUACCAAGCAAUUGACUGAAUUUAUAUCGGAAGGCGACUAAUGUAACCAUCUCAAUCUUUUUGGAUUAAUGAGGGUGCAGAAAUUGAUGCAGUUCAAUUUAAAGUAGGCUGAUAUAUUGUAGUUUUAUCCACAGUUAUAAGAGUUUUGUUACCUUCGUGUUUUUGAUCGAAGAUUAAGAUGUCGGUGUUAUAUGCAUUUUCUAUUUAGCUAAAGAUGUUUUAGUAAAAUUUGUACGAAAUUCAUACUUGUCAUCAAGUUUGCCAAUAGAAUAAUGUCUAUGUCUUUAUUACCACGUUGCAACGCACGGGCAUUUGUGCUAGUCUAUCCCUAAUCUAUCCCUAAUAAUAAAGCACAGAUUGACUCCGUGGGUUCACCGUCACAAUACGCUUCUUCCCGUAAAUUUCCGCUUUCAGUUUUUUCGUUCAUAUUAUCCGAGGUGGUACUAUUCAUGUGCUUUUUAGUAAGUGAACCCCGCUAUUAAUUUGCUUUUUAGUAAUUGGGCUGAAUUCUGUCCGACUGUCCUGCGUGGGCCAACCUGGGCCUUAUUGAGGAGCAGCCAAAAAUUAGGCGCAUUCUGCGGCAGACUGGAGGGGCUUCGCACAUGGGGUGCUUCGUUUGGGCCGGCCCACGAAGGAGCAGCUACACGCGUGCGCUAGCCAUUGCACCACUAAACGCAAAAAACAGAGGGCGGCUGGAGAAUCGAACUCCAAACCUCCCAUUUAGUACCCACACGCACUAGCCAUUGCACCAUUAAAUGUUAUUUGCAAAUGUUGAGCAGCAAACACUAUAAGAACAUAAUCCACGACAGAUCUAAAUGUUUUUAGAAGUUCGAAUGCAGUUCAUUCUUUUCUUUGCAGAAAAAACGCAGUUUAUUUUCAAAACGUGUAUCUUUUUUUGAACGCGGACUAUUCCAAAAAUAGCGAAUAAUUAUUUUAAAAUGUUGAACAUUUUUUGACCUGUGAACAAAUUUUUGAAAAACAGCAAAUCCUUUUUGUAAUGUUGAACAAAUUUUGAAAAACAAGAACAUUUCAUAAAAUUUAGACGAAAAAAGGAAAAGGCGAACAUUUUUUGAAACUUGGAACAAAAUUAGAAGAAAGCGAACAUAUUUUUGGAUCAGGGAACAAUUUUUGAGAAAGGGAACAUUUUUUGUAACUCUGAACAAAAUUUGGCAAUCGAACAUUAUUUUGAAUUGUGAACAUUUUUUCAAAAAGCAAACAAGAUUUGAAACUCAAACAUUUUUUGAAUUCAUUUAAAUAUGAUUUCAAAUGUGAUUUUUUUUGAAAAUCUGAACAUAUUUUGAAAAUGUGAGCAAGUUUUGGAACUCGAACAUUUUUUGAAUUAAUGGAAACAACGUUUGAAAAUGUGAACAAAAUUUCAAAAAUGCGAAAAAGUUUUGAAACUCGAACAUUUUUUAAAUUAAUAGAAACAAAAUUUCAAAACGUGAACAAAAAUUUGAAAAUCUGAACAUUUUUUAAAAUGCGAACAAAAUUUGAGACUCGAACAUUUUUUGUAUUAAUAGAACAAGUUUCCUAUAUGUGAACAAAUUUUUGAAAAUCUGAACAUUUUUUAUUUUUAAUCAUUUAGUGAAUAACAUGAUCAAAAUUCAAUUUUUCCGAACAUUAUUUGAAAUUUUGUACUAAAUUUGAAAUUCCAAACAAAUUAUGAAAUUCUGAAUUUAUUUAAAAUUGAAAACUGAAAAGGAAACAAAGAAGAACAGAAAAAGGAAAAAAUGAAACAGAAAAAAAAUGAAAAACGAAACGAAACGAAAACAAAAAAGAAAUGAAAGAACCGGUUUAGGAACCUUCUAGAAGAUUCCUCAAACCGGAAAAGACCGGCUGGAACCUCCUACUAGAAGCUUCCCGAAACAGGGAACGAAGAACACAUGAACGGGCCGGGCCAUCGCAACGCUAGAUCGCGACCUCCUGUGCGAAAGGUCGACAUCUUGACGCAGAAUGCGUCAUAUAGGAUUUUCCGGGAGCGAAGUCCGCAACCAAUAGAGCCAGCAUGCCUGUCUGUUGAAAAACAAGACUCUUUACCUAAUAGCAUGUAAUUAAGAGAAUAAUUAAUGCAGGGAGGAAUGCGUUUUGUGCAUGGCUGGGGAAAUUAAGAGGAAUUGAUCCCUAAGUAGUAAAAGGGAUUGGUUUGGUGAAAGUCGGCCGUUUGGAUUUGUGUCUCUGAUGUGUUACCAUAAAAGCAUCACCACAGGGAUCGCAGCUGCCAGGACAUGCAUGUACAUGACCAGUAGCGACCGGUGACCGACGUCCCCGUAGCGAGGUUCGCCGCGUAUGGGCGGGAUGAGGAUUAGAUUGGUAUUCUUGAUUUUGUUUAUGGCAGUGAAAUAGGGAUGUCCAAAGAGAGAAGAAGAGAGAUGCUCGUGCUUUGCAUGGCUCUAUGUAAUUAGAGAUUUACUGACGAAAGAAGAAAGCGUGGGGCCCCACAUUGGGACGACCGUAGGAGAGCCAAAAUAGCAUUUGGCGCAUUAUAAAAGAACGGAAAUAUAAGAAUGGCUUUUUUGCAACCAAAUUUACAUUUUUUUUUCAAAAAAUUAUCUGAUUGAUCGAACCUCAUUGCUGCAACCAGAAUAGUACAUGACACUGCAAGUGUGGUCGAUGCUGCUGCAAGCGGGACGCGGCGCACCUAGGCCGAACGACCUAUAUAUGCAUCUAGCGGAAGCACGCCAAUGCAACACCAGUUGCCGGCUUGCCGCUAUUAUUUUUCAUUAGAAAAGUUGGACUGCCAUGUUGCAAAGCCGACUAUGGAUACCCUACAAGGAUGGUUGGUGGUAUUUUAAGUCGGAAGGACGAGCCGACUAUACAUACCCUACAAGGACGGCUGGUGGUAUUUUAAGUCAGAAGGACGAUGUCGCAAAGCCGACCACAUGAACACGGUAAGAACGACCAACAUUGAUGUAAAGUCAGACGUAUAUCAUUGCGAGGUCAAUCUAUGUUAUAGCAAAUUGUAUGUCGUUCAAUGCUAUCAUAUCAUGCAUGUGGAUAUUUUGAUGAACACGUCAAUUUUCUCUCCCUUUGCAACGCACGGGCCUUUUUGCUAGUCUAUCCUUAAUAAUAAAGCACGGGUUGACUCCGUGGGUUCACCGUCACAAUACGCUUUCUUCAUAUGAAUUUACGCUUUUAGUUUAAAUUUAAAGCAUAUAUAUGUGAGGUGGUACUAAAGCGUUGAUAGAUUUCGCUCGGAUCGUUCGGCACCAAGAAAACGAACGAAACAACACAUCGAGAAAAGGCCAAGCGAAGAAACAGCCCAUAUCAACCGGGGAGCCUCUCCACCGUCAUGUUCCACAUGGGCACGCAGUUGAACUGGUACUUGACGCUGGUGGACGCUGAGAAGCCGAAGUAGGCCCGCUUGCUGAGGAGCACUGCCGAGAGGUCCAACGGCGCGUCGAGCAAGGCCACGCCGUGCCUGCUCCGGUUCUUGGCGACGUACGCCCGCGCGCGCCGCGACGCAUCGUCGUAGUUGACCCAGACCAUGUAGAAGUCGUCGUUGACCGUGGUGUCGAUGGGGGCGAGCUGGAUGCCGAAGGGCGUGAGCGAGGCGGCGUGGGUGGAGCGGACGCCGUUCACGUGUGGCCGACGUGGUUGUCGUCGAGGUCAUAGGGCUGCUUCAUCGUGUCCAGCUCCACGGCCGCGAACCCGUUGGCGGGGUUGUCGUCCAUGGACGCGUUGGUGAGGCCCAGGUACCCGUCGUGGCUGCCGGGGGCAGGCCGCCGCCACUGGGCGCGACGACGAGCGUGAGGCCUUCGCCCUUGCUUGUCGCGUUGGUGCGGUAGAGGUUGAUCCGGAACACGGUGGAGAAGGAGGCGACGUACCAGCCGCCGGCGGGUUCAGAGGCCCACAAGACGAACGGGAAGGAGAGGAAGACGUUGUCGGUCUGGUUGACGAGAAAGUUGUCGGGCCCGCUGGCGCUGUUGCUGUCCGAGGUGAUCUGGAGCGUGUUCUGGGUGACGCUGGAGUUGCUGGCGAAGGUCAGGUUGGCGGGAAGCAGCACCAGCACCAUGACCACCAGGGGUCGCCGUUGCAAACGCUGCCAGGAGCCCAGGACAUCUUGCUAGACGCCAGGGAGGAGGACUCCGGAAAGGCUCCCCGGGCUUCCUCUCGCUGGAGGCAAAGCCAGGCAGCUGCCGGCCUUCUGUUUCACUCUCUGCUGCAUCUUGUUCUGGCUGGCGAUGGUCGUCAUCGGUGUGACCGUGCUCACCGUGUACCUCAUCUACCGCUCGCAGCCGCCGAAGCUCCGGUGACGGAUGCGUCCCUGAGUGUCGGGUACGUGGACGAGCUGACCGUCCCCGGCGGCCCGGCCCACGGCCUCACGCUCAACGCCGACCCUCACCGCCCUGGUCGCCAUCACACAGCCAGUAUCGAUCAACGAUUUAUUGGUUUAUCCUAGUUGCGAAAGUUUGAUCAGCCCUUCGACUAUCGUGCAUCCAUAGAAUAGUUCCACCUCGCUUCAUUAGAUCAAAUCAGUCCAGUUUAUAUACAUGUUGCUUAGCAAACCAACAAGCAAGCUUGAAAAUCAAACAAGUAGAGGGCAAAAGAAGGGAUUGGUGUGUCCAGAUGGCGAGCUCCGGCGGAGGCCGGGUGAUGCAGCGAGGCGGGAUGGAUUUUUGCAGCCUCUAGCUAGCUGAGCUAACAUGCUACUGCUGACUCGUGGGAUUUUUGCUCCUAAUUAAACCUCGACGCACGCAUGGCCUAUGGCUGAUCCGAACAUCACAUACAUGUAUGUCAUGGCUGAUCUGAAACAGAAAAAACCUGGUCGUCAUUCCAAUAAUCAAUCAUGGAGCACGCAUCAAAUUAGCCUCAUCAAAUCUCACACGUCGGUAGCUCACCUGAAACGGUGUCCAGAAAAAAAGGUUUACCAGAGACGAACCCUGAAUUGCAUUGGAAUAAUUUCUUAAAUAUUGGUUUGUUCUUAUCAUUUUGUUCCAAACAGUGAUUUCACUUUUUUGACUCAUCGUUUUGUGUUGUUCGACUGUCUUGGAUCGGCUUGCUUCUAAUCGAUACCUUAAUAAACACAUCAGCUACAACGCUUUCAGAUACAGUAUGUGAGACCAACUGAUUUUACUUUUUCCAUUUGUUGGAGAUGUACUUUAAGGCUAGAGGGAUAUCAAGCUCGGAGACAACGACUCUGAUGCUUGAAGUGUAUGGAGGCUGCCUUUAUAGGACGAAAACUACAGUGGAUGCUUUUAUUAAAUUAGGCCAUGUUGGCAUCGUAGCCCUUUUAGUUUCAUUUGCAUUUUAAAAGUCCUCAUCUCAUUUUAGUAUACAAUUUCAAAGUUUUUUUAUCUCUACUGUGAGUCUUGAAAACGUGUUCAUUUAGUAGGAGGAUGAGUCCAUGCGGGGAUAAUAGUUUUUCACCCGUUGCAACGCACGGGCAUAUUUUAAUUGUACAAUUUUGAACAAAAGAUUGUAACUUCCACAAUUUUCUUCUUCGGUUCCUGAUUUUAGCUCAUUGUUCAUGUUUUUCCUUUUUAGUGAAACUCUGGUAGACACGACGACAAUUACAUUAUGUUUACACAAUCACAAGAACAAUCAUUAGAGAGGAAAGUAACCAUUUUUGCGGGAUGAGUAACCAUAUUUGUGACUUUUUAAGAUACGGAGUGCACUAGAUUUUUUUUAAUAUUACCUUCGUUUAUCCAUAUCCAUAUAGAAUUUGUCAAAAUUGGACAGAAGAACGGGCCAUGACCAUUGAUUUAACUUCAUUUUUUUAGUUUCCUAUUAUUUUUCUAGCUAAGUGAAAUAUCUCUGAAGCUAUGAAACUUACCUAGGCCCAUGACUUGACUCUUUGUUGCAAUUUCUAAAUGAAGUACAAGCAGCCAAUCUUUUUGAAUGAAUUUGUUGAUGGUUUGAAUGGUUAUUCUUCACUAUGGAUGCAUGGCUAUUCUUGGGUUUGAGCCUUAGGCAUGCAUCAAUGAGAAAUAAUUGCAUUGUUUGUUAACAAUUUAAACUGAAAUCAUUCAUCAAUUUUGAUUGGAAAUCUUAUCCCAAUACUUUUGAUACUGUACUUCAAUUUUGAUAACAAAAAUUGUUUCAAAUUGCCAUGUGGAAAAUCAAGUAAGAGCAUAUCCAUGUUUACUUAUUAGUUUGUUUUCUGAGAAUGGUACGGGAUUUACAAAUUGAAAAAACAUUAAUCGUUUGAAAAUUAUUUUAAACCAAAAUCGUUUGAAAUUUUUGUUAUGAUAUGUUGUUUGACUGAUUGCAAUGUUGUUUUAGUGGUAAUUUUUUUUCAACUUCUAAGCAUAUAUUUAUUUUUUAUACACCCGGUGUAACGCACGGGCCCUUUUGCUAGUCUUUUCCUAAUAAUAAAGAACGAUUUGACUCCGUGGGUUCACUGUCAUAAUACGCUUCUUCCUGUGAAUUUACGCUUUCAAUUUGAAUUUAAAACAUAUACGCGAGGUGGUACUAAAAAACCGUUAUACCAGUUUAUAUACGUGAAGUCAGUCUCAAUCAAAAUUUACAUCCGUGUCGAUCAAACAAUCUGCUGGGCCCUCAAAUCUCUCCACAGCUGGCCUCUCUUAUGGGCCAUGGAUGGGCCUUUUAUUUAGGCCGCGAGCCACGCUGGAAAAAAAUGUUAAAGUUGGAGAUUGAACUCGUGACUUCAAGCCCUUAUCAAAUAGGUAGCGACUACGACCAACUCAGCUAUUGUUAUUUGAUGUUCAAUAAUAUCACCUCGCUCAUUUAGAUAUACUUAUACCAGUUUGUAUAGGACAUGGAUGCUUCACGUAAUAUCAAAAAUAAGCCUUAUAGACAACGGUGUGAAUUGUCGGUAUGAAGGAAGGAUGUAUCUCCAUAUUUAACAAAAUUGCGGGCUGUCUUUGGGGUAUUAAAAAAGGAAGGAUGAGGCUAUUAAAAGGAAAGAUUAUGGGCUUCCUUGUGAUGAGGGGGUAUAAAGGAAGGAAGGAAGGAUCUUCAUGGUCAAACAGAAUUGUGGCUGUCUUUGCGCUAUAAUGAAGGAUUGGGCGAACUAAAAAGGAAGAAUAAAUUCCUGGAACGGAAUUGUGGGAUGUCUAAUUCCUAUUAAAAAAAAGGAAAGGAUGAGGCGAACUAAAAGGAAGGAUGGACCUUUGGGCUGCAAGUAUAUUCACAUGCGCGAUGAUGGACGUGCACGCAUAUACCCGAUAUUUGACUGUGCUUUUUUCAUGCCUUCAACAAUUAGACCUCUUUUAGCCGAACACAUACGAGCACAACAACAAUAAAAAUCCAUUCAGAUAAACACGACCUUGACUCGCGCUUCGUGAAUGAUUAAUUUUGCCUUUUAUUCCAUGUCAAUUGUCUCAAGCCUACGUCGCAUUCAAUUUAUAAAUUUUUAAUUACUCACACCAAUAUACUCAUCUAGAUGUCGUCAACCUCCGGACUAUGUCCCAGGUCCGACCGUUAUUCUUAUUCCCGUGCACCGGGAUCUAUGUCAUCCACGGACGUGAACUAGAGGUUGCAAAUUCUAUCAUCACCUCGACGUAGUCAUUGAAAUGUCGCUCCUAUGUAAUAUUUCGUGUCACUUUGUUAGACUGGCUCGUAAGAGUUUAGAUCAAUGAGCCUCAAGUCAUUACAGUUUCAAAGCUCUCUCACACCAUGAACAGAACAUCAAUAAUUGACAUUACUCCACUACUCCUUCAACCCCUUUCCUUCCAGAACUAGGAAAUCCAUGAACGCAUUAAUUGUUUUUGCAAAGAGAGUAUGGUUGAAAACACAAAUCUAAACACCAGCUUGACUCGCGCUUCGUGAAUGAUUAAUUUUGCCAUUCAUUCCAUGUCAAUUGUCUCAAGCCUACCUCGCAUUCAAUUUAUGAAUUUUUAAUUACACACACCAAUAUACUCAUCUAGAUGUCGUCAACCUCCUAGACUAUGUCCUAGGUCCGACCGUUAUUCUUGUUGCCGUGCACCGCGAUCCAUGCCAUCCACGGACGUGAACUAGAGGUUGCAAAUUCUAUCAUCACCUCGACGUAGUCAUUGAAAUGUCGCUCCUAUGUAAUAUUUUGUGUCACUUUUGUUAGACUGGUUCGUAAGAGUUUAGAUCAGUGAACCUCAAGUUAUUACAGUUUCAAAGCUCUCUCACACCAUGAACAGAACAUCAAUAGUUGACAUUACUCCACUACUCCUUCAACCCCUUUCCUUCCAGAACUAGGAAAUCCAUGAACGCAUUAAUUGUUUUUGCAAAGACAGUAUGGUUGAAAACACAAAUCUUUUUGAUUUUGGAAAUAAUUCACGUCGAUCAAAAAUUAAAUAAUUAUUAUUAUAUUAGUUUAUGUUAAGAAAAUUAUUUUCUCCCGUUGCAACGCACGGACAUUUUUGCUAGUCUAUCCCGGCCCUAAUAUAUAUAUAUAUAUUAUAAUAUAUAUAUAUAUAUUAUAUAUAUUAUAUAUAUAUAUCUAUUCCUAAUAUUAUAAUAUAUAUAUAUAUAUUAUAUAUAUAUAUAUAUCUAUUUCUAAUAAUAAAGCACGGAUUAACUCGGUGGGUUCACCGUCAAUAUGCUUUCUUCUUAUGUCAUAAUACGCUUUUACAAUUUAUAUGGACAAACUAUUUAUGGGCCCCAGGAAACCCAUCCUGGCCGGAGCCUGCCCGAGCCAAGCCCGUAUGCCCCGCUGCCCGCUUCCCCUAGCUCCCCUCGAGUUCCCUCCUGCACCUUGCCUCGCCGCCGGCGACUGGACCCUUGCCGGACCAUGCAUCUCUCCCCCCUUCCUUCUUCUCUCUUCCUCAAAUCUCCCUCUCUUCAGGACGCCAGGAGCUCCACAGCCGCCGCCACAAGUCGUCCGUGCUCGAAUCCGGCGAGAUCCGGCCGCGAGCAACCCAUCCCCAAUGCUCCCGCGCUAGAUCUGCACUGCCCUCGCCAUCCCAGACGGAGUUUGCCUCCAGCGCCGCCGUAAACCACCUCCUACCUCUGCCCUCGUUCACGGCUCCCCUCCACCAACUGGUCGGGACCUCGCGGGAGGCAGAGGAUGGGGUGCAGCGCUUGCGUUCGGCUCCGGAGCUCGAGCGGGCCGAUCUGCGCAGAGGCAGAGUAUGGGAUGGUGUGCUGUGCUCGAGACGAGGGGGCUCGAGUAAGGGGAUUGGAGGGUGGCGCCGGCGGGAUCGCGGACGGGGAUGGGGAGGGCAGGUGCCAGCAAGAUCGAGUCCGGGGAUGGAGAGGGAGGGGGUCGGCGAGCGGGAGGUUGAGGAUGGGAAGAGGCAGCGCUGCCGGCGGCCACGAGUACUAUUUUACAGGCGCAUGCAGGCAAACAGUAAGUUGUUCUUGCAGUACGCUGACGCAUUUGAUUUGCCGAUUGCCAUCUAGGAAGGGCUGGUUCUAUUGCUAGAUGUCGGCCCGUCGAUGCACCGGGAGCUGCAAGAAGUCGAGAAUGUCUGCACCACCCUUGUGCGCAAGAAGGCAAGCAACAUGAUGUUUCAAUCUGAAGCCAAAUGCAAGCGUCCAUUAAUCCGCCGUUGGGGCUAGCUGACUGCCUUUUCGUUUUGAUACUCUGCAGCUGGUUUUUCAUAGGAGCAACUAGGUUGACCUCCACACUGCUCCAUUUGGCCAUCAUCUCGCCGUUCUGCUGACCGGGAGUCUACGUUCGAAUUACUCACACAUACUUGCUCCAAGUAACAGUAAUUACCUCUUUAGUUGAUCUCGGUUGGUUUAUUUAGGAUUUUUGUCUUGAUCAUCUUCCUCCGAUAUAACAGUCUUAUAUGAAGAAACAUUAAUUAAGAUUUCCUCCUGGUUGUGGUGUUAAAAAGCAUAGAUAUCUAGCAAUCUUUUUUGCAUUGUGGUGUGCUACAGAUCGAUUAGGUUAACUUACAACCGGUAGUAGAGCAAAUUGUCAUUGUUCUUUGUGCGCAAAAUUACCAUCUACCAAUCUUCUUUGCAUUGUUGUGUGUUACAUACUGAAGCAUUCUUAGUUGGAUCAGCACGUACAACUUGAUGGUCUCCACAUCCGACAAGGCGUGUCGCUGUUGAGUAGCUAGGGCAGUUCUUCAGUACUAUUUGUUUUGUCAAAAGUUCAGAAUUGUUAAUUUGUUUGCUGGGUGGAUAUCUACCUACUUUCUUCAUAUGAUUAACUCCUGCUUUCUGUUGAGCUUGAGGUUGACAAUACUUAUUAUAGUUUACAUGCUGACUGCAAAACAUUGUUUGUUUUGUGUUAUUAUUUAGAAUUUCAGAUGUACUGAGAUGACAAUAUCUAAUUUACUGACUUGUACGCUGUAACCUGAACCGGGUUUUGAAACCAUCAAAGCAGUAGAUUUAGUAAAGGGGAAUAGCCACCAAACGUGCUUGACUCUCUUAAAUUCUUAGGCACAAAAUAACCAUACAACCAUGGUAGGACCUUCCGAAUUUGUAAAAUAGCUAAAAAAAUCAAGUGGUACUUGAAGCCAGGAGAAUACCAGCCUGUAAACAUGAAUCACUUGUGGGUAUUUUCUAUUGAAGGGUACGAGGGUCUAUUACUUGUGGGGAUUUGUAGUGCAUAUGUGGUGUAGUGCAAGAAUAGGCCACUGGGAACUAGAAGAAUAUGUUGUUUUCUCUUUGUCCAGCUUAUUUCCAAUGGCAUGUCAGCAAAACUGAAUGUUAUUUUCUUUAUCUAAGAUCCCUUUCAGGCCAGCUGUCAACACCUACAAUCUCCACAUCAUCUACGGUCAGGGCAGUGUUUUGGGUCAUCCAUUGUCAUCACCUACUAUCUCCACAUCAUCUAUGGUUUCUGAAUGUUCUGAAUCGAUUGGUUCAGAAUCAGAUAAUCAAAUAAAUGAAGCGCAAUUUUCAUCACCUACAUCACCAACCAAGUCAACGUUAUCUCCGGUUUCUGAAUUGGUAAUAAGAAAUCAACCUAAACUUUUUUAUACUAAUUCUGGUAUCAGACUAAGCGGAGUGAUAUUAUACCUUCAUAAACAUGUUGGUAUCUGUCAUCAAACAGACAUUAGUACAUUUUUUUAGUCAACCAAGCACAACUUACAUGAUACCAGACUCAAAUUCCCAACUUAAAUUUUGCCAAUGGCAAUGUGUGAGUUUUCUAUUUUCCGAAGAACCAAGCAGGAGCUCUGCCGAAAUACUAUUAAGACAAGGGAAUGGAGUACAUAAUGUGUAGAAUUAUGGUUAUAACAUGGACGUGCUAAGCAAUCCAAAUCUUAUUACAUUUUUUUUAAGUUUGUAAUAUAGCAACUCCUAUAAGUAUUAGUAUAGAUGGAAUUCCUGCUGACUUACAUUUCUAUGAAUUUUUACAUAAUGGCAAUAAUGCCUAAAACCUUACACCAAGGUUGUAUAUCAAAGUCUUUUGCACUACCCGAGAGGUUAAGCAUCCCAGAUCAUAAUCCAAUGAUGACUGAAAUUGCCACAUGCUUGGGCAGAAGCUCAAGGUUGGCAAUGCCACCGCCAUGCAUCAUCUGAGAUGUUGUCCAGCUAGCUCUGCCAUCCAUACCCCCUCAAUGAUCAUGGCAGAGCAGGUUAUGCGUUUUAUCACUUAUCAGCAUGAUUUUUGAUGUCUCGUUCUUUGUAAUAUUGGUCCUCUAUUUGACAUAAUGCCUAGCCAUGGUGCCAUGUGCAAGUCACUAUUGAGGGUCAUCAACAGAAUUGCAGAUCAAUGUGUAACACUAUGUUGCGCCAGGUCUAGGAGACCGAGGGCAUCCAGGUCAACCUCUUCGAGGCCUGAAACACUAUGUUUGUUAGAUCUUUUUUCCGUGAAACUACCCCUUUACAUAUUGUUUUGAUGCAUAUGAGCAAAGGUCCAGGUUCUUUUUAUUUCAUUUAAUUGGCACCGUUAACGGAAUAGCUCUGCACAACCUUGGUUGUGUAUCUGAAUCUACUAAGUAGUAUGUGUGACAUCUCUUUGUUAUUGACAUACUCCGUCCGUCUAGAAUUACUUGGAAGUUCUUUUCUUUUUUUCACUUGGUCACCAUCAUUGGAUUGACACUUUAUAAUCAAUGCUUUUAUGUUGAGAAUAUGUUUGAGGCUAAGAGCAAUCCUAAUUAAACAUGUUCAGUUUAUCGUGGCCUUUGCAAUUGUAGUAUUCACUGCCCAACAGUUUCAAAUAAAAAGGGAAGAUGAGACAAGGCAGAAGGAGAUGGAUUGGGAGCUGCACACACAAACUUUCAAACUAAUUUUAUACCCGUUGCAACGGACGGGCCCUUUUGCUAGUGUGUGUGUGUGUGUGUGUGUGUGUGUGUGUGUGUGUGUGUGUGUGUGUGUGUGUGUGUGUAUGUAUAUAUACACACGUGCGUUGGAACGGGUAUAAAGUAAACUAAGAAAUAUGCCUGUGCGUUGCAACGGGAGAAAAACAAUCACAUACAUCCAUCCCAAUAAGCAAGGCUCAAGACCCAUAGUCAGUCUACAUCCUCUAUUUUAUCAUAACGUCUUGCAUGGCAAAAUUGAUACAUCGUGACUUGAGGAUACUAACUAAUUGAAGAAUGGGUUGGCGGGAGUGGGAGGAUUCAUACAAAGUUCACCUUAAAAUACCUACUUUCUUAUUUCCUGGCAUGCAAAGUUUUUAUCUAGACAUUAGAUUAAACUUGGCAAAUACUAUAGACAAUUGUACACCUUGUGAACAUAAGAAAAAGGAAGACUCGCAAAGAAGAAAUCGGCCAUCAGGAAACUGAAACCUCUAUAGUUGAAGGUUGCAUCUGAAACGAAACUGCAAUAUGUAUCAGUAUCACACAUUUAGGAAUCACCAACAAGGAAAAAAUAAGUCAAAAUCAUGAGACUACUCCGCAAGAGAUGAAUGUAUAAUUAUGCCAAUGUUCAGAACAAUUCUAGAAAAACCAUAGACAGUUUAUUUAAACCGUAAAGAUCAUCUUUAUGAAUUUAGUAUUAUUGCAAAUGUUCAAACCAAAUUGAGGCUUAACUAAUAAAAGUAGAUUAGAUGGGUUAAAAAAUACCAAACAUUAUCUGGAAUUAUCAUCACUAUCACAAAGUGGAGGUUUGCCUCAGGAUCACUGACUCAUGUAGCAAGAGUUAUUUAAAGGAUUCCUCCAUACAGCAACAUACUAUUUCUUCACAAGCUCCCAACAUGGUCGGUUACGAGGUCCUCCAUCUUUACAAAUAAUUUUAUCUGUAAACAAUCAUUUCGAGAGAGACCGGCAAAAAAAUGCAGUAUUUCAUUAUGAGAGGCUACUUGACCUGAUAUAAGUAAUGUUAUAUAAAACUAUUAUUAACAAAGAAGAGAUUAUUCUGGCUAAAUCGAACAACUAUGGAUUCAUCAUGUGUGAAAAAUAAGUGAAUUAACACAUCGAGAAGAUUAUAUUACUCUAAAGGAACAAAGUAUGUAAGUAAGUAUAUGCCCCAAAACAUGCUACUCCACAGUAAUAGAGAUUCAACAAUGGUAGACAUUUUAGCUGUAGAAACUGGUGUAGUCCAUGAAACUUUAGCUGUUAUUUAUCUUUUGCAUGUUCAAGAAGUGAUGCUUGUAAAACCCAUAUGUUUUAAGUUCCGAUUUAUCAUCAACCAGCCAUGUAUGAGGUACAAACUACUCGUUCGCUUUCCUGUUUUACGCAAUUUAAACUUAACUUUCCUGUUUCUAAAAAGAUUUGCGUAAUUUAUAAUAUAAUCAAGGCAAACCUGAGAUAUCUUUAUCAUCAACCAGCCGUGUAUGAGGUACAUUGCUAAACCACACCUCUAGUUCACAUAACUACAUUACAGAGAUUCUCGUACAUGGAUGCUGCAUUUACAGAACAUAAGCCAAAUCAGUUAGUUCAAUUCAGAUUUCUGAAUUUACUGCUUAAAACAAUGGAUGUAUAUACCUACUUGAGUUGGCCCUUCCUCUCGGAGGGGAUUGCGAUUUGAUGCAUCUUAAUAAUAAAGGAAAGUCAGAGUGGUUAGAUAUACUAUGCAGAUAAUCAAAGAUCCAACCUGUAUUCAAGAAAACGCAUCCAGAUAUUUAAACAUUUAGAUCAGCAUCAAAGAAAACUGAAAAGUGUCUAGCAUUCUCGAAAGCAGAGAGAAGAAAACUGUCUAGUAAGAGGCCACACUGUUGUACUGAUUCCUUGAAUCCGGUGCUGCAGGAGGCUAUGUAGAUCAUCCCAUCCACUUCCUAUGGAAGUAGACAAUUUGCUCAUCUAAAAAAAUUAAGACCAAUGCACAUAGAUAGACAUAGCUGAAUUUUCCUGAUCAAACCUUAGGUCUGAAGCUAAUUUUGUUAUUCAGUAAUGAACUUAAUGGCUGGAGAACGGAGAGUCGCAUCUGUUCCUCCAGUCGGAAGCCCGAUUAAAUUGAAACUGUCGGCAAUGCACAUGCGACUCUCCGCUGCAUCAAGCAUCAACCAUCCUGACAUGUUUUCCUUAAUUGAUCAGAAAAGUGAUGCUUUGUUUGAUGUAUAACUGAUCAGAAAAGAGAUGCUUCGGUUAAUGUACAGCUAGAACUUGAUAUCAAAGGAUAUUAUAAUAUGGAGAAGAAAGGGAGUGGGGAGAGGCUGCAUUGGGUUGGUGGCCUUUUUCAGAUCAAUACGCGCCGUCGCCCGGCUCGGGAGCUCAUGGACUCGGCGGAGGUCCAUCCACACUGCGGCAGCGUGAGUGCGGGGCCUCAUCCGUUGCGCACACGCCACCGGCGCCACAGGUGGAGAGCAAGGGCGAGCCAACUGGGGCUCCGUUCAGGCUGUGACCCGGUGGCGGGGGCCUACGCAGCUUGCUGCAAGGGGAUGGGAAAGAUUAGUAUAGGAUCUUCCUUGUGCCUGCCGCAUCGCCAGCUAGGCGACACUGCUUCUACGGGUUCAGGAAUCAGAGCAACUCAUAUCCCCUGCAAACCUACAUCACCAUGGUCACGUGCACGAGCCGGCCAGGGUGGCGGGGUAGUGGGAACUGGGAAGGGAGCUCGCCACGGCCCACGGGUUCUCAGGAGGUAGCGGUGGAGGAUAAGCGUCUCGGCCAUCGUCGUAGCUGCCAUCUAGGGCAUCCGUGCGCAGCUCAUGGCGGCGGGUAUUGGCUGUUGGGGAACGUUGCAGAAAAUUAAAAUUUUUUCCUACGGUUUCACCAAGAUCCAUCUAUGAGUUCAUCUAAGCAACGAGUCAAGGGAGAGAGUUUGCAUCUACAUACCACUUGUAGAUCGCGUGCGGAAGCUUGCAAGGUGAUGAUGUAGUCGUACUCGACGUGAUUCGAAUCACCGAUGACCAAGCGCUGAACGGACAGCACCUCCGCGUUCAACACACGUACGGGACGGGAGACGUCUCCUCCUUCUUGAUCCAGCAAGGGGGAAGGAGAGGUUGAGGAAGACAGCUCCACCGGCAGCACGACGGCGUGGUGAUGGUGGAGAGGCAGUACUCCGACAGGGCUUCGCCAANNNNNNNNNNNNNNNNNNNNNNNNNNNNNNNNNNNNNNNNNNNNNNNNNNNNNNNNNNNNNNNNNNNNNNNNNNNNNNNNNNNNNNNNNNNNNNNNNNNNNNNNNNNNNNNNNNNNNNNNNNNNNNNNNNNNNNNNNNNNNNNNNNNNNNNNNNNNNNNNNNNNNNNNNNNNNNNNNNNNNNNNNNNNNNNNNNNNNNNNNNNNNNNNNNNNNNNNNNNNNNNNNNNNNNNNNNNNNNNNNNNNNNNNNNNNNNNNNNNNNNNNNNNNNNNNNNNNNNNNNNNNNNNNNNNNNNNNNNNNNNNNNNNNNNNNNNNNNNNNNNNNNNNNNNNNNNNNNNNNNNNNNNNNNNNNNNNNNNNNNNNNNNNNNNNNNNNNNNNNNNNNNNNNNNNNNNNNNNNNNNNNNNNNNNNNNNNNNNNNNNNNNNNNNNNNNNNNNNNNNNNNNNNNNNNNNNNNNNNNNNNNNNNNNNNNNNNNNNNNNNNNNNNNNNNNNNNNNNNNNNNNNNNNNNNNNNNNNNNNNNNNNNNNNNNNNNNNNNNNNNNNNNNNNNNNNNNNNNNNNNNNNNNNNNNNNNCAUCCGGGACUCCGAACAACAUUCGGUAGUCACAUACUAGUCUUCCUAAUAACCCUAGCGUCACCGAACCUUAAGUGUGUAGACCCUACGGGUUCGGGAGACAUGCAGACAUGACCGAGACGCUCUCAGGUCAAUAACCAACAGCGGGAUCUGGAUACCCAUGAUGGCUCCCACAUGCUCCUCGAUGUUGUCAUCGGAUGAACCACUAUGUCGAGGAUUCGAUCAAACCCUGUAUGCAAUUCCCUUUGUCAAUCGGUACGUUACUUGCCCGAGACUCGAUCGUCGGUAUCCCAAUACCUUGUUCAGUCUCGUUACCGGCAAGUCACUUUACUCGUACUGUAAUGCAUGAUCCCGUGUCCAACACCUUGGUCACAUUGAGCUCAUUAUGAUGAUGCAUUACCGAGUGGGCCCAGAGAUACCUCUCCGUCAUACGGAGUGACAAAUCCCAGUCUCGAUCCGUGUCAACCCAACAGAUACUUUCGGAGAUACCUGUAAUGCACCUUUAUAGUCACCCAGUUACGCUGUGACGUUUAAUACACCCAAGGCACUCUUACGGUAUCCGGGAGUUACACGAUCUCAUGGUCGAAGGAAGAGAUACUUGACACUGGCAAAGCUCUAGCAAAACGAACUACACGAUCUUUUAUGCUAUGCUUAGGAUUGGGUCUUGUCCAUCACAUCAUUCUCCUAAUGAUGUGAUCCCGUUAUCAACGACAUCCAAUGUCCAUAGUCAGGAAACCAUGACUAUCUGUUGAUCACAACGAGCUGGUCAACUAGAGGCUCACCAGGGACAUAUUGUGGUCUAAGUAUUCACACGUGUAUUACGAUUUCCGGAUAAUACAGUUAUAGCAUGAAUAAAAGACAUUUAUCAUGAACAUUGAAAUAUAAUAAUACUUUUAUUAUUGCCUCUAGGGCAUAUUUCCAACAGUCUCCCACUUGCACUAGAGUCACCAAUCUAGUUACAUUGUGAUGAAUCGAACACCCAUAGAGUUCUGGUGUUGAUCAUGUUUUGCACGCGAGAGAGGUUUAGUCAGCGGAUCUGCGACAUUCAGAUCCGUGUGCACUUUGCAAAUCUCUAUGUCUCCAUCUUGAACAUUUUCACGGAUGGAGUUGAAACGGCGCUUGAUGUGCCUGGUCUUCUUGUGAAAUCUGGGCUCCUUGGCAAGGGCAAUAGCUCCAGUGUUGUCACAGAAGAGUUUGAUCGGCCCUGACGCAUUGGGUAUGACUCCUAGGUCGGUGAUGAACUCCUUCACCCAAAUCGCUUCAUGCGCUGCCUCCGAGGCUGCCAUGUACUCCGCUUCACACGUAGAUCCCGCCACGACGCUCUGCUUGCAGCUGCACCAGCUUACUGCUCCACCAUUCAACAUAUACACGUAUCCGGUUUGUGACUCUGAGUCAUCCAGAUCUGAGUCGAAGCUAGCGUCGACGUAACCCUUUACGACGAGCUCUUCGUCUCUUCCAUAAACGAGAAACAUGUCCUUUGUCCUUUUCAGGUACUUCAGGAUAUUCUUGACCGCUGUCCAGUGUUCCUUGCCGGGAUUACUUUGGUAUCUAGCUACCAAACUUACGGCAAGGUUUACAUCGGGUCUGGUACACAGCAUGGCAUACAUAAUAGAUCCUAUGGCUGAAGCAUAGGGGAUGACACUCAUCUCUUCUUUAUCUUUUGCCGUGGUCGGUGACUGAGCCGAGCUCAAUCUCACACCUUGUAACAUAGGCAAGAACCCCUUCUUGGACUGAUCCAUUUUGAACUUCUUCAAAAUCUUAUCAAGGUAUGUGCUUUGUGAAAGACCUAUGAGGCGUCUCGAUCUAUCUCUAUAGAUCUUGAUGCCUAAUAUAUAAGCAGCUUCUCCAAGGUCCUUCAUUGAAAAACACUUAUUCAAGUAGGCCUUAAUGCUGUCCAGAAAUUCUAUAUUAUUUCCCAUCAAGAGUAUGUCAUCUACAUAUAAUAUGAGAAAUGCUACAGAGCUCCCACUCACUUUCUUGUAAACGCAGGCUUCUCCAUAAGUCUGCAUAAACCCAAACGCUUUGAUCAUCUCAUCAAAGCGAAUGUUCCAACUCCGAGAUGCUUGCACCAGUCCAUAAAUGGAUCGCUGGAGCUUGCAUACUUUGUUAGCGUUCCGAGGAUCGACAAAACCUUCCGGCUGCAUCAUAUACAGCUCUUCCUUAAGAUGCCCGUUAAGGAAUGCCGUUUUGACGCCCAUCUGCCAUAUCUCAUAAUCAUAGUAUGCGGCAAUCGCUAACAUGAUUCGGACGGACUUCAGCUUUGCUACGGGAGAGAAAGUCUCGUCGUAGUCAAUCCCUUGAACUUGUCGAUAACCUUUAGCGACAAGUCGAGUCUUAUAGAUGGUAACAUUACCAUCUGCGUCCGUCUUCUUCUUAAAGAUCCAUUUGUUUUCUAUCGCUCGCCGAUCAUCGGGCAAGUCUGUCAAAGUCCAUACUUUGUUUUCAUACAUGGAUUCUAUCUCGGAUUUCAUGGCUUCAAGCCAUUUGUUGGAAUCCGGGCCCGCCAUCGCUUCUUCAUAGUUCGAAGGUUCAUUGUUGUCUAACAACAUGAUUUCCAGGACAGGGUUGUCGUACCAUUCUGGUGCGGAACGUGUCCUUGUGGACCUACGAAGUUCAGCAGCAACUUGAUCCGAAGUACCUUGAUCAUCAUCAUUGUUUUCCUCUUCAGUUGGUGUGGGCAUCACAGGAACGGUUUCCUGCGCUGCGCCACUUUCCUGCUCAAGAGGUAGUACUUCAUCGAGUUCUACUUUCCUCCCACUUACUUCUUUCGAGAGAAACUCUUUUUCCAGAAAGCAUCCGUUCUUGGCAACAAAGAUCUUGCCUUCGGAUCUUAAGUAGAAGGUAUACCCGACAGUUUCCUUAGGGUAUCCUAUGAAUACGCAUUUUUCCGACUUGGGUUUGAGCUUUUCAGGUUGAAGUUUCUUGACAUAAGCAUCGCAUCCCCAAACUUUUAGAAACGACAGCUUAGCUUUCUUUCCAAACCAUAAUUCAUACGGUGUCGUCUCAACGGAUUUAGACGGUGCCCUAUUUAAAGUGAAUGUAGCUGUCUCUAGAGCGUAUCCCCAAAAUGAUAGCGGUAAAUCGGUAAGAGACAUCAUAGACCGCACCAUAUCCAAUAGGGUGCGAUUACGAUGUUCGGACACACCGUUUCGCUGAGGUGUUCCAGGCGGCGUGAGCUGUGAAACGAUUCCACAUUUCCUUAAGUGUGUACCAAAUUCGUGACUUAAGUAUUCUCCUCCACGAUCUGAUCGUAAGAAUUUUAUCUUUCGGUCACGUUGAUUCUCUACCUCAUUCUAAAAUUCCUUGAACUUUUCAAAGGUCUCAGACUUGUGUUUCAUUAAGUAGACAUACCCAUAUCUACUUAAGUCAUCAGUGAGAGUGAGAACAUAACGAUAUCCUCCGCGAGCCUCAACGCUCAUUGGACCGCACACAUCGGUAUGUAUGAUUUCCAACAAGUUGGUUGCUCGCUCCAUUGUUCCGGAGAACGGAGUCUUGGUCAUUUUGCCCAAAAGGCAUGGUUCGCACGUGUCAAACGAUUCAUAAUCAAGAGACUCUAAAAGUCCAUCGGCAUGGAGCUUCUUCAUGCGCUUGACACCAAUGUGACCAAGGCGGCAGUGCCACAAGUAUGUGGGACUAUCGUUAUCAACUUUAAAUCUUUUGGCAUCUACACUAUGAACAUGUGUAAUAUUACGCUCGAGAUUCAUUAAGAAUAAACCAUUGACCAUCGGAGCAUGACCAUAAAACAUGUCUCUCAUAUAAAUCGAACAACCAUUAUUCUCAGACUUAAAUGAGUAGCCAUCUCGUAUUAAACGAGAUCCAGAUACAAUGUUCAUGCUCAAACUUGGCACUAAAUAACAAUUAUUAAGGUUUAUAACUAAUCCCGUAGGUAAAUGUAGAGGCAGCGUGCCGACGGCGAUCACAUCGACUCUGGAACCAUUCCCGACGCGCAUCGUCACCUCGUCCUUCGCCAGUCUCCGUUUAUUCCGCAGCUCCUGCUGUGAGUUACAAAUAUGAGCAACGGCACCGGUAUCAAAUACCCAGGAGUUACUACGAGUACUGGUAAGGUACACAUCAAUCACAUGUAUAUCAAAUAUACCUUUGGUGUUGCCGGCCUUCUUAUCCGCUAAGUAUUUGGGGCAGUUCCGCUUCUAGUGACCCUUCCCCUUGCAAUAAAAGCACUCAGUCUCAGGCUUAGGUCCAUUCUUUGACUUCUUCCCGGUAACAGGCUUACCAGGCGCGGCAACAUCUUUGCCGUCCUUCUUGAAGUUCUUCUUACCCUUGCCCUUCUUGAACUUAGUGGUCUUAUUGACCAUCAACACUUGAUGUUCUUUCUUGAUUUCAGCCUCUGCUGACUUCAGCAUCGAGAACACUUCAGGAAUGAUCUUUUCCAUCCCCUGCAUGUUGUAGUUCAUCACAAAGCUCUUGUAGCUUGGUGGGAGCGACUGGAGGAUUCUGUCAAUGACCGCCUCAUCUGGGAGGUUAAUGUUCAGCUGGGUCAUACGGUUGUGCAACCCAGACAUCUUCAGGAUGUGCUCACUGACAGAACUGUUUUCCUCCAUCUUACAACUGUAGAACUUGUCGGAGACAUCAUAUCUCUCGAUCCGGGCAUGAGCUUGAAAAACUAGUUUCAGCUCUUCGAACAUCUCAUAUGCUCCGUGGUGCUCAAAACGCUUUUGGAGCCCCGGUUCUAAGCUGUAAAGCAUGCCGCACUGAACGAGGGAGUAAUCAUCAGCACGAGACUGCCAAGCAUUCAUAAUGUCUUGGUUCUCUGGGACGGGAGCGUCACCUAGCGGUCCUUCUAGGACAUAUUGUUUCCUGGCAGCUAUGAGGAUGAUCCUCAGGUUCCGGACCCAGUCCGUAUAGUUGCUACCAUCAUCUUUCAGCUUGGUUUUCUCUAGGAACGCGUUGAAGUUUAUGUUGAUAUUAGCGUUGGCCAUUGAUCUACAAGACAUAUUUGCAAAGGUUUUAGACUAAGUUCAUGAUAAUAAAGUUCUAAUCAAAUUAUGAACUCCCACUUAGAUUAGACAUCCCUCUAGUCAUCUAAGUGUUACACGAUCCGAGUCGACUAGGCCGUGUCCGAUCAUCACGUGAGACGGACUAGUCAUUGUCGGUGAACAUUCUCAUGUUGAUCGUAUCUUCCAUACGACUCGUGUUCGACCUUUCGGUCUCCGUGUUCCGAGGCCAUGUCUGCACAUGCUAGGCUCGUCAAGUUAACCCUAAGUGUUUUCGCUGUGUAAAACUGUCUUACACCCGUUGUAUGUGAACGUAAGAAUCCAUCACACCCGAUCAUCACGUGGUGCUUAGAAGCGACAAACUGUAGCAAUGGUGCACAGUUAGGGGAGAACACUUCUUGAAAUUUUAUAAGGGAUCAUCUUAUUUACUACCGUCGUCCUAAGUAAACAAGAUGCAUAAACAUAAUAAACAUCACAUGCAAUUAUAUAGUUGUGACAUGAUAUGGCCAAUAUCAUAUAGCUCCAUUGAUCUUCAUCUUCGGGGCUCCAUGAUCAUCUUGUCACCGGCUUGACACCAUGAUCUCCAUCAUCGUGUCUUCAUGAAGUUGUCACGCCAACGACUACUUCUACUUCUAUGACUAACGUUUAGCAAUAAAGUAAAGUAGUUUACAUGGCGUUAUUCAAUGACACGCAGGUCAUACAAAAAAUAAUGACAACUCCUAUGGCUCCUGCCGGUUGUCAUACUCAUCGACAUGCAAGUCGUGAAUCCUAUUACAAAGAACAUGAUCUCAGACAUCACAAUUCAUCAUUCAUCACAACUUCUGGCCAUAUCACAUCACAUGAUCAAUCGCUGCAAAAACAAGUUAGACGUCCUCUAAUUGUUGUUGCAUCUUUUACGUGGUUGCAAUUGGGUUCUAGCAAGAACGUUUUCUUACCUACGAAACACCACAACGUGAUUUUGUCAACUUCUAUUUACCCUUCAUAAGGGCCCUGUUCAUCGAUUCCGCUCCAACUAAAGUGGGAGAGACAGACACCCGCCAGCCACCUUAUGCAACUAGUGCAUGUCAGUCGGUGGAACCGGUCUCACGUAAGCGUACGUGUAAGGUUGGUCCGGGCCGCUUCAUCCCACAAUACCGCCGAAGCAAGAAAAGACUAGUAGAGGCAAGUAAGAUGAUAAAAUCCACGCCCACAACAAAAUUGUGUUCUACUCGUGCAAAGAGAACUACGCAUAGACCUAGCUCAUGAUGCCACUGUUGGGGAACGUUGCAGAAAAUUAAAAAUUUUCCUACGGUUUCACCAAGAUCCAUCUAUGAGUUCAUCUAAGCAACGAGUCAAGGGAGAGAGUUUGCAUCUACAUACCACUUGUAGAUCGCGUGCGGAAGCUUGCAAGGUGAUGAUGUAGUCGUACUCGACGUGAUUCGAAUCACCGAUGACCAAGCGCUGAACGGACAGCACCUCCGCGUUCAACACACGUACGGGACGGGAGACGUCUCCUCCUUCUUGAUCCAGCAAGGGGGAAGGAGAGGUUGAGGAAGACAGCUCCACCGGUAGCACGACGGCGUGGUGAUGGAGGAGAGGCAGUACUCCGACAGGGCUUCGCCAAGCACACAACGGAGGAGGAGAGGUGUUGGGGAGGGGAGGGCUGCGCCUUGGAGGAUGGUGCGGCUGCCCUCCCCUCACCCCUCUAUUUAUAGGGGGAAGGGAGAAGGGGGCCGGCCCCCUAGAACCCAUCUAGGGGGGUGCGGCGGCCAAGGGGAGAGGGGGAGAGGGUGGCUUGCCCCCCAAGCCAAGGGGGGCGCCCCCUCUAGGGUUCCCCCUCAACCCUAGGCGCAUGGGCCCAAGGGAGGGGGGUGCGGCCAGCCCACCAGGGGCUGGCUCCCUGCCCCACGCAGCCCAUGUGGCCCCCCGGGAGGGGUGGCCCCUCCCGGUGGACCCCCGGAACCCUUCCGGUGGCCCCGGUACAAUACCGGUAUGACCCCGAAACUUCCCGGUGUCCGUUUAACAACUUCCCAUAUAUAAAUCUUUACCUCCGGACCCUUCCGGAUCUCCUCGUGACGUCCAGGAUCCCAUCCGAGACUCCGAACAACAUUCGGUAGUCACAUACUAGUCUUCCUAAUAACCCUAGCGUCACCGAACCUUAAGUGUGUAGACCCUACGGGUUCGGGAGACAUGCAGACAUGACCGAGACGCUCUCAGGUCAAUAACCAAUAGCGGGAUCUGGAUACCCAUGAUGGCUCCCACAUGCUCCUCGAUGUUGUCAUCGGAUGAACCACUAUGUCGAGGAUUCGAUCAAACCCUGUAUGCAAUUCCCUUUGUCAAUCGGUACGUUACUUGCCCGAGACUCGAUCGUCGGUAUCCCAAUACCUUGUUCAGUCUCAUUACCGGCAAGUCACUUUACUCGUACUGUAAUGCAUGAUCCCAUGUCCAACACCUUGGUCACAUUGAGCUCAUUAUGAUGAUGCAUUACCGAGUGGGCCCAGAGAUACCUCUCCGUCAUACGGAGUGACAAAUCCCAGUCUCGAUCCGUGUCAACCCAACAGAUACUUUCGGAGAUACCUGUAAUGCACCUUUAUAGUCACCCAGUUACGUUGUGACGUUUGAUACACCCAAGGCACUCUUACGGUAUCCGGGAGUUACACGAUCUCAUGGUCGAAGGAAGAGAUACUUGACACUGGCAAAGCUCUAGCAAAACGAACUACACGAUCUUUUAUGCUAUGCUUAGGAUUGGGUCUUGUCCAUCACAUCAUUCUCCUAAUGAUGUGAUCCCGUUAUCAACGACAUCCAAUGUCCAUAGUCAGGAAACCAUGACUAUCUGUUGAUCACAACGAGCUGGUCAACUAGAGGCUCACCAGGGACAUAUUGUGGUCUAAGUAUUCACACGUGUAUUACGAUUUCCGGAUAAUACAGUUAUAGCAUGAAUAAAAGACAUUUAUCAUGAAUAUUGAAAUAUAAUAAUACUUUUAUUAUUGCCUCUAGGGCAUAUUUCCAACAUUGGCGUGGGCAGGAGCCAUUGCUGAGGUUUACGGUGAGAGGGGCUGAAGCCAGGACUGGAGAGGCGGCACCGGUGUGAACCCUGGGGCCGCGGUGUCAUUGGGGAGCCGCAUCCUAGGAGGUGGCCGAGUCGGCGUCAACGCGACCUCGAGGGGCAAGCACCUCUGGGUCGGUGUCCGACGACAACAAAGGAGUGCGGCGACGACGUCCAUAGGGCAGAUACUCCUCUCCUCUUCGUGGACGGAGCGAGAGGACAGGUACGGAGGUUAUAGGUGCCUACACUUUUAUACAAAAAAAAUCGGAUAGACACUGGUAUGAAAAGCAGUCCGGAUCAGCACCGAUAGAAAAGAAGUCGGAUGUGUGCGGGACGACGUAGAAGACCUGGCAUAGCACGGACGACGGACGACCUGGCAUAGUUGGACACGGAAAGAAAGAGGAUUUACCUUCUCAGGUUUUUCUUAUAUACAUAUAAACAUAGAUAGAUUAGUACCACCUUGGAUUUUGGAAAAAAUAUAGACAUAUUGAAAAAAAACUGAAAGCGUAAAUUCACAGGAAGAAGCGUAUUGUGACGGUGAAUCCACGGAGUCAAUCCAUGCUUUAUUAUUAUAUAUAUAUAUAUGUAUAUAUAUAUAUAUCACCGUCACAAUACGCUUCUUCCCGUGAUUUUACGCUUUCAAUUUUUUUUCACUUUCAAUUUUUUUCACCUAUAUUAUUUUCCACAUCCGAGAUGAUACUAUUCAUCUUUCUGCCACGAUUUUCGUCCGUCUGUUGUUUCUAUAUAUAAUUAUUUUCCCGCGUGACAGGCCAUCCAAAAUUUUGAUAGCCGGCCCACCUGAUAUGUGAAUGGGCACAAAAAUUAAAAAUUAUAUGCUGAAUUUUUGAUAGCCGGCCCACCUGAUAUGUGAAUGCGCGCAAAAAUUAAAAAUUAUAUGCUGAGGAUUCGAACGCCGGCGGCCAGAAAAGUGCAUAGAGCAAACCACCAACUCAGCUGGUACAUUGUAUAUUUAUAAAAACAAGGAUUACCCUCUUACUCUACCAAGCCAGAAGGGGCCACAUUAUUCCGUCCCACCCGAAGGAAGCCACACUACCGAACGGGCGAGGCUGGCCCACAACCUGGUGCAAUAAAUAGUCCCAUACCGCUCUCUUAAACUCAGUCUUUGUAAUUUAUAUACAUCUUUGAGUUUUCUCGGUAUCAAGGAGCCAUCUCGGAAAUCAAUAAAGAAGGAAAGAAGUCCUUUCAUAAUAAGGAAGGAAAGAGAGAAAAACAAAGAAGGAAAGAAGAGGGAUUUCAUGACAGAAUAAGAAAGAAAAGAGAGAAAAAUAAAUAAGGAAAGAGGGCGGGUUCACCGUCACAAUACGCUUCUUCCCGUGAAUUUACGCUUUCAAUUUUUUUUUCACUUUCAAUUUUUUUUCACCUAUAUUAUUUUCCACAUCUGAGAUGAUACUAUUCAUCUUUCUGCCACGAUUUUCGUCCGUCUGUUGUUUCCAUAUAUAAUUAUUUUCGCGCGUGACAGGCCAUCCAGAUUUUUGAUAGCCGGCCCACCUGAUAUGUGAAUGGGCGCAAAAACUAAAAAUUAUAUGCUGAGGAUUCGAACGCCAGCUGCCAGAAAAGCGCAUAGAGCAAACCACCAACUCAGCUGGCACAUUGUAUAUUUAUAAAAACAAGGAUUACCCUCUUACUCUACCAAGCCAGGAGGGGCCACAUUAUUCUGUCCCACCCGAAGGAAGCCACACUACCGAACGGGCGAGGCUGGCCCACAACCUGGUGCAAUAAAUAGUCCCAUACCGCUUUCUUAAACUUAGUCUUUGUAAUUUAUAUACAUCUUCGAGUUUUCUCGGUAUCAAGGAGCCAUCUCGGAAAUCAAUAAAGAAGGAAAUAAGUCCUUUCAUAAUAAGGAAGAAAAGAGAGAAAAACAAAGAAGGAAAGAAGAGGGAUUUCAUGACAGAAUAAGAAAGAAAAGAGAGAAAAAUAAAUAAGGAAAGAGGGCGGGUUGAUGGCAGACUAAGGAAAGAAAGAGGGAGAAAAAUAAAGAAGGAAAGAGGGCGGGUUGAUGGCGGAAUAAGGAAAGAAAGAGGGCCGGUAUUUCAUCUCUAGACAGAAAAAAAUGGAAAGUUUCCCAUAAAUAAUAAGGUAAGGAAGGAAAAUAUAUAAAACUAAAAAAAAGGAAAGAGAGGGUCUCCAAAUGGGAUAUAAUGGCACUAAACGUCUUCGUGCAUGCAUCAGGCAAGUUGAACUACUUUUUAUAUCUAAAUUGACAUCAAAUUAUAACUUAAUAGCAAAUUAUGUUGGAGUUGUUUAACAUGCGCAAAAAAAUACUAUGUCUAAAUCAUAAUAAACAUGACUCAUUCUAUGUUGGUCAUGUACAAUAUUUUUCUGAGAACAAAACAUUUGCUCUUAUUUUUCUGCUCGACACGCUAGCGCCCAUCACAAACUCUUAGAGUGCUCCUAAUAAAAAUAAUUUUGGUCACCAAAGCACAAGCAAUUGGACUACGUGUUGUGUGUAACACAAACUCCGCACUGAUGGAGGAUCUUUGUACAAUGCUCAUAAUAUCAUUGCCCCGCAAAAAAUGCUUCUAAUAUCAUUGGACACAAAUAGCGCUAUGCUACCCAGUCCCUAAACCUAGCCAACACUGGUUCAUGGAAAUCUUUGUUGCCUCCGUAGUGAAGCAAGAAUGUUGUACUAAGACUUUACUAUUUUUAUUAUAGUGCGAUAUUUUUUGGGCAUCACUAAGCAACGUCAAAAAAUCCCUGAAGAGAUACUCGCGACCAGGUAGAUAUUUCUGUGAUUUAAAUUGCACGCACCUACAGUAUACUUACGAAUUCCUUUCACGGUUAUGUUUUGCACAACACAUCUUUUCAUGUGUGUUUAUCAUGUGGCAGUGUGCAAGAUUUCAAAGAGUUUACUGAUGUCAUCAUGUGUGGUAGUCGGUCGUGGGAGGAGGAGGAGGGGGAAGGGUCUUGAGCUAUCGGGUUUAUGAAGUAUGGUUUUGUUCUUCUCCCGCUGCAACGCACGGGCAUUUGUGCUAGUUUUAUAAUAAAACAUGGAUUGACUCCGUGGGUUCACUGUCACAAUACGCUUUUUUCUCAUGUCAUAAUACGCUUUUAUGAUUUAUAUAGACAAAAUUGUAAUAUAAACGAGGUGGUACUAAUUCGGGGAGUCGUGCGUCGUCAAACGUUUCGUGAUCCCAACCCGCACCCGAGCCAGAGCAAACCCUACCCGAGCGAAUCCUCCCGCACACCCUGCCUCCACCGCACCCAUCGUCCCCAAUCCUGCGCCGCCGCCCCCGUCGCCCAAACUUCCACGGCCCAUCACCUCCACACGCCGCCGAGCUGCAGCGCCGGCAGCUGCCACUGCCGCAGCCUCGCAGGGUUGGGGACGAAGGGCACAACCUAGCCAAGGGACGGCCAUGGAGGGCAGCAGGCACGAGAAGGGGAGCCAAAGGGAAGGAAGGAGGGCGGCGCGACGGCUGAAAGCUUCACCGAAACCAGGCGGACGGCGGCGCUUCCGCGCGAGGCAUGACGGGGGGUAGGGGCGGGCCUCCCCGACCUUCGAUCCCCUCGCUUCAACGGCGGCGGCACCCCGUCCUUUUCUAAGGCUUGCAACCACGUCCAGCUCGACGUCCUGUGCUUCGGGGAUGGUGGCGCUUCUGCUCCUCGUGCGGGAGGAUGAUGCAAAAUCGUGGAUGAAGUUCGGGAACUCCUGGUCUUGACCGACGCCCUCUGCUCCGGUCCCCGACACAGCAACCAGAUCGUGGGUGCCAUCCUGCCCUAAGGUUACAUGCACUACCUGUCUCUCCUUGAUCUGAUCUCUCAAAGUCCCGAUCUAUUUCAGCAAAACUAUCUUCUAUCUAUUUGAUACUCUUUUUUGGUAAACAGUUUUAACCUAUUGUAAUUGCUCUCAUUCUGGAGCGAGGUCACUAUUGACAAGUCAUUGCAGUGCUACUACCGCAUUAAUCUUAGCAGUGAAGCUAUGGUCUGUUCUUUGGUACAACAAUGAAAUGUUAAUAUGCCAUUCUCCUUUAUGCUUUGUGUCAGUGCACUGUGGUAUGACACCAACACUUAUUUGGCACCUACAUUGCAUCGACAAUUUGCCAGCUUACAGUUUGUACCAUCGAGAAUUUGCACGACUUUACACCUGCAGCUGUACCACUAUACUAUAAAUAUGUUUUGAUGUCUAAACUGGUGUUGGUACUGAACCUGAUAGUGUAUUUGGCGUAUCUUUUCUGUAGAAUUAGUACCAGAGUUCUAUUUGUAGUAUUAUUAAUAGUAAAGAGAUAAUUAGACCAUAGAGUCGCUUUUGAUUUGGUUUAUUCCUUCAGAUCAUGCAAUAGAUGUAAGCACACAUUUAAGUACUUUAUCUUAUUACAAAAACUGAACAAAGAUAUACCAGCAAUACGUUUCAUGACGUAGUGUUAUCUGUGCAAGAAAAUUGCUUGAAUGAUUAUUAAUCAAUAUAAGCAAUCUAUCAUGUAGGUUUUGUUCGAUCCUACACUUAAAGAAAAUCAUACUGAAGAUCUGAGCUUAAGUGUUCCAACAGCUGAAGCACCAGCUCAAGAUGAAAGGAUCCUCUUAAUAUGAUUGUAGGUCCAUUCCUGUAAAGUGCAGUUAGAAUAUGGAAUCCACCUGGAACUUGGUUUUAAAAACAGAAAGCAUAUGGAAUUUUGAGGUUUCUGCUUUCUAUGUGAGUAUCUUGGUGCAUGCUUGUUUCUGAAUAAAAUGCAGAGGUCAUGAACAAAUUAAAACAUGCUCUCUGAUGGGCAAGGGUAGGUUUAUUUUUAGUUGAAGUGGUAUCAGUUGUAUACUUAUAUACACGCCAUUUGAAAAAUAGUAUGUAUCUCCUUGCAAACUACUACGUAUUAUUUAAAUGUUUUACAUAAGACUGUCCGUCCAGAUACAAUAACUAUUUAGUAUUUUAAUAACUUGAAUUGCACGGCUUGAUCGCUCUGCUUGGGUCUUCUCUUAUGUAUGAGUCACCAUGUGCGGGUUAAAUAAGUGCCCCAGCUUCGGUGAUGCACGGGCGAGGCAACACGAUUUGGUGCAGUGGCCCUCCUUCCAAGAAAUCAAGUUUUUACGUUCAGAUUUUAGAGCUCUUGAGUUUCAGCUUAGUUCAAGGAUAUAAAAGCAUACUCCUUAUGGAUUCAACGAGGAAGACCAUUAGCCACCACCUUUUUAGAAUUGGAUGGUGUGGUGCACCUUCAUCCUGCUGUCCAAUUUCUUAGCUUAUUUGCUUUAAAUGUACUACAGUAUAUAGCAGUAUAAGGAUCCAAUCUUGUGACGCCUCUCCAUUUGCACCAUCGUCAAAAGUUGCACAUGAGUUGAUUCAGACUUUCAGAGUUUUCAUAGAACACCUAGAGUUAAUCAGCCUGAAGGUAUAUCAGAUCCUAUGGAAAGGGGAUCCGGUUCAGAUUUGUCACUACUGUGUGUUGUUGGAUAGCCAUGGUGUGUAUUAGUUUGUUUUUACCACAGUUCGGUUCUUGGUAGUUAGGAUAUCAGGUGUAUACAUUACUUUUCUUAUGAAUUUUUUCUCUUUUAGUGCACUAUCUAUCUAUCUAUCUAUCUAUCUAUCUAUCUAUCUAUCUAAGUUUUCAAAGAAAUUGAUGGCGGUGGCUCAGAGGCGUCGUGGUGAAUGGUGAAGCUUCUAAAAUGGAUGGAAGAGAGGUGGUGACUUGCGGCUGGGAGACGUACAUAUUUGAGGAGAUACGAUUCAUAAGGUUUCAUAUUAACAAAAAAUGAUGAUCUUUGUAAAGUAAUCCGAACAUUUUGUUGAUUCUGGGACAAUUUUAUUCUCCAAUAUGAAUCCGUAAGAAAAGAUAUGACAAUACAUUUGUGCAAAUUGAUAAUGUAAGCUCAUCUCGGAACUUUAUUCUUUUUCUAAGAUUGAUUUACUUGGUGGUGCUAGCUUCCAUUCUGUCAAAACAGGACAUGUGUGCUAUUUCUGAAAAAGGAAGCUUCUCUGUUGGCUGGCAUCCCUGAUGGUGCCUUUAGAUAUGUAGGAAAAGAAAUGGUAUCUCAUAAUUCACUGGAUGUAGACCAGUAGGGUCAAUUACAAAUUGUUGGCUGUAAAUUACUUUCAGUUUCUAGCUUUCAUAAAAAAAUUAGACAUGUACUGUUUAAUUAAAAUUGUGUGAGUAUGUUGUGGUUGAUGGUGGUCCUAUGUGCUGGUUCAAAUUAUCAUGUUGGAUAAUAUUGCUUUUACUAGCAGUUGCAGUGCUCUUAUUAUUAUUUUUCACAAAUAUCAUCAUGUUUUGCUAUUGAUGUAAUGCUAUAUUCUUUGACUGAAAUCAAACCCUUUAGUUGCUAUUUUGGUGCUUUUAUUAUUGUGUGUGUAUUCAAUAAUGGCUUCAGUUUCAAUUAAAAUCGUUAACUGGACUGCCAUGAUUGCGGUGGCGUAUUAUUCGGCAAAAAGUAUGUUGCCUUUUAAUAUUUU